rnacentral:lncRNA from 1 species
GGUAAGAUUUUGUGAUUGCUUUAUUAUCCUUAUCUCCCGUACUUUUUUCCUUUACUAUUACUUAAUUCUGAUGCUUAUGGUUACAAUACAAUAGGGAUCGACAAAAUAUGAGCACUACUAAUCUUAUCUGCCCUCACGAUUCCACUCGACCUUCUAUUUUAUUUUUCUUUUUCAGAAAGUUGGUCUUAUUCGUCCUGGUAAUUCCCCACUUUAGUGUCCUAAAGUUGAGCUACAUAUUGACGCCAUUAUUUAAUUUGCACCUUUAUCUAAAAAGCAAUCAUGCAAAAAUUUUACUUAUAUCUUUUUCUGGUAUUCUCAAUUUAUUUCAUCACCUACCUUUUCGACGUGAUUUUUUUUUUAUUCCUCUUUGGUUUGUCCUAUUUUGUUAGAUAGAAGAUAUUUGUUCAAACUCAAUUAUUGUAGCCACUGGGCGGCUGGCGCAGCCCUCAUCUGGUCAUGAAUUGCGUCGUGUUACUUGAGUUUGAAUAAUAAUUAAAGAUAAAAAUUGAUGUUUAGUGUCUGAAAUUUGUCCAUAUCAAAUGACGUAAAGAAUUUGGGGAGAAUUGACUUUGAGUUAGGUCCCAAUAUCUCUUACUUUUAUCACUUAGGCUCUAUUUUUUUUUCCCCUAAUACCCAUUACGUUCUUGAUUUUAUAAUUUCAAGGUUCAAAUUUUAUUGUUGAAGAUCAAAUGUAACUUUUUACCUACAAAACUUUGUAUUCAAAUUAUUUUUUUUUCUUUUAAUAUUUGAAUAUUAGAGACUUAAAUAGCAAGAGUUUAUUUGUUAAAUGUCUGAAGUCUGAAAUUUUUAUUAAUUUAAGAUACUUUUUAAGUUUACUUUUUUGUUUUUUUUAUAAUUUAUGUAUGAUUUUUAGAUAUUUAUAUGUAAAGAUGUUUAUAUUAACUUCUGUGACUUUUAUCUAAAUGGAAAGUAAAAACUAUAUCCAGAAAUAUCUCUAUCAAAUACACUUAUUUCUUAAAAUAUAAAACUAAAUAUCUUUAUUCGUUUUAACUUAUAAGGACAUAAACAUCAAAUAUCCAUGUUAGUUUUUUUAUUUCAAAAAAAUAAAUAAAAUGUACCUAUGUUUAGAUAUUAAAAAAUAAAUAAAUAAAUAGGUCAUCCAAAUAUUUGUAUUCAUAUUCAUUUAGACUUCUGUUAAAUUCAUACUUAUUUAUUUUUUCAAAAAAAAAAACUCUUGGUAAAAAAAAAAAAAAUUAAGGAUCUAACUGUCAUUCUUCUAGUAUUUCAAGGAUAGUACUUAUAAAUAUGUUUAACAAUAAACAUACGACAUGACUACAAAAUUUUUUUAUGUGCCAGGUUUUCUCCAUGCCUAUAACCUUCUAGCUAGCUUUAGCAGAAUUUUGUGUGAAUCACGUUGACUCUUUUUAUGAUAAGGGCAUCAGAUUCGCUUGUAACUUUGUUAGGUAUCAAGGAAAGUUACAAUGUAAAAUAAAAAUUAAUAGUAAUACAAUAAAUAUAAUUUUAAUAAAAUAUUAAAAAUAUUAUAUAUUUUUCGUCAUAUAAAUAAAAAAUAAAAAUAAUUUAAAUUUCAAACUCCAAUAUUAAAUAUUUAUUAAAAAUUUUAGCAUCAUCACUAAAAAUUUACAAGUGCAUGUCCAACUACGACACGUACAGGGACUCUGCGUAGACUCUGCGUAGAAGGGCACUGGCUUCUUCUUGAUUGUGCGUAAUGAUUACUUUAAGAAGUGGCAAACACUGAAGGGCCCGCAAUGAAGAAGCCUUCAGAGUGCAGAAUUUCUUUAGGGUUAUAAAAUCGAAUUAUUCCAUGAUGCGUGAAUCUCAAACGUAAAGUUUUAUUUUGUCCAUUUAAACUAUCUAUUUUUACUAUCCUUUCACGGCCCUUUUUGUGCUGAUUCGAUAUUAAUUUUAAGGGAUAAUAAAUUUUAGGUCCUUUAUAUUUUUUUACAUUUAUUAUUCAAGUCCGUAGUUUAUUAUUAAUUAUCCAUUAUAUAUCCAGGAUAUAUUGUAGUAGAUUGACAGUAAGGUUACCAUGGUAAAAGAGCUUAAAAUAGUUGAACUCAGGGGUGUCAAAUUGUGUCAUGCUGUUAGGAUCUCACCAUAAAAUUUAAGUUAUUUCGAUACGUCGUAUGGUAUUGUAUUAAGAUGUAUUAAUCAUGUAUCAUAAGGUUGUAUUAAAAAUCUCCGGAUUCAAAUUGAAUAAAUUGGCAAGGGCGCCACUGAUGAUGAACAAUGAAACUGCGUAAAACAAAAUUAUGGAGGUAGAAGAGAUCUUUGCAAAUUGAUAACGAUAUUCAGUUCUUAUAAAUCAAAACAAUCAGCUCUUACAAUCAUAAUGCAAUCGAAGUAAUUUUUUUUUUUCAAUCUUUUCAUUUUGCAUUUUGUAGAUCGGCAUGUCAAGCGCAACUGAAACUCUGUGCGGGCAAGCAUUUGGAGCAAAGCAAUACCACAUGAUGGGUAUCUACUUGCACAGAUCAUGGAUCAUAAAUCUUGCUACUGGAACAAUAUUGCUUCCUGCGUUUAUCUUCGCAGCAGAUAUUUUCAAACUGCUCGGAGAACAAACAUAGCAAACAGAGCCGGAGACAUCUCACUUUGGUUCAUUGGCAUUCUCUAUUUCUUUGUCUUCAGCUUAACGAUCCAAAAGUACUUGCAAGCACAGCUCAAGAACAUGUUUGUCGGAUGGCUUUCGGCUGUUGCAUUUGUUGUUCAUGUGGCCUUGUCAUGGAUCUUUGUGAGCAAAUUGAACUUGGGGAUUCCUGGUGCAAUGAGUGCAAUGAUAAUCGCAAGUUGGUUUAUAGUAAUUGGACAGUUUGUGUACUCUUUGGCGGUUGGUGUCCCAAUACAUGGAAAGGAUUCAGUUCUGCAGCUUUUGCUGAUUUGUAUCCUGUUUUGAAGCUCUCAAUAUCCUCAGGUGUAAUGAUUUGGUAAGAUAUCUAUUUCUAUUGUAUAUCUAUAGCCGAACAAUACAUAAUGUUUUAAUCUGUCCCCAUGAAGUUAGCGGUUAGCCCAAGAGUUUUCAAACAGUUAUUAUUAUUUUUUUUUGAGCUAAUCAUAUCUUUUUAUGUUCUUUUUUGGUGGCUUUUAACUUUAAUAGCUUAGAGUUUUGGUACAAUGCUCUUCUAGUCCUAUUAGCAGGAUAUAUGAAAAAUGCCACAAUUGAGAUUUCUUCCUUCUCCAUUUGGUAAGUUUUAAAUCUAUGCCAUAAUAUUUCUUUGUUUUCCUUUAAAGUUUUUUUAUACCCAAAACUACACUAAAUUGGAAUAUUUGAAUGUCAUUGUAGCCUCAAUAUCAUAUCUUGGGAAUUUAUGUUGGUCUUUGGCUUCCUAGCUGCCUCUGGGUAUGUCUCCAAAAAUGAUCAUUUCCUUUAAAAAUAACAUAGAAAAAAGAAAGAAUAGUAACAUCUUUUGGUAUGAUAAAUAGUCACAGAAAUUCUCUUAUUUAUAAAAAUGGUCACACAGACCCUUUUUUGGUAUAUAAAAUUAUCUUUUCUGUGCAUAAAAUUGUUAAACAAACUCCUAAAAUUUAUCCAAAAAAAAGUGGUCUGUGUGAUCAUUAUUCUGAAAUAAAUGAGUCCCUGUCACUAUUUCUCCAAAUCACGGGUGUCGCCAUCUUUUAUUAUAUUCAUAUCAUCUCUUAUAUCUUAUUUGGUUUUCUAGCGUGCGGGUUUCAAAUGAACUGGCGAGAGGAGAUGCUAAAGCUGCGAAAUUUUCUGUAAAAGUUGCAAUAGCUACCACAACUGUCAUUGGAUUUUUCUUUUCCUUAAUCUGCUUAGUCUUCAGCCGUAAGCUCGCACAUUUGUUCACAAGUAAUGAUGAAGUAAUAGAAUCCGUCACAAGCCUCUCAGUGCUGCUUGCUUUCUCGGUUUUACUCAAUGGCUUUCAGGCAGUACUCUCAGGCAUGUACUGAAUUUAAUAAAUAAGAUUGCGAUAGUUAAAAUGUUUCUAAUUCAUCAUUACAAUGGAUUAAUAUUUUCAAUGUAAGUUAUUUAUUGCAGGGGUGGCAGUAGGUGCUGGCCGGCAGGCUGUGGUUGCAUAUAUUAACAUCAUUUGCUAUUAUUUCAUUGGCUCACCUGUUGGCGUUCUUCUCGGAUAUGUGGCCGAUCUCAAAGUUAAGGUAAGAAUUAUUUUGCAUUUUGAUAUUUCAAUCUGAAUUUGGAUUAGAGUACUGAUUUGAGUUGGGGUGAUUCUAUAAAUAUCUUGUGUCAUAUGUACAAGAUUUAUUUGAAUUUAGAUCAUACGAUAAUUUUAAUUUUGCUCCUCUUUUAAUAAAUUUUUACCACGCAUGUAAUAAUCUAUAGUAGUGUACCGUUAACAUCUAAUUGCCUAUGUAUUAUUUUUCAAUAACUAUGGAUCACAAUUUACAAUUCUCUAAAAGAAAAAAAAUAAAAAUCAUAUCAACAAUAAACUUAAUCCAUAUUCUUAUGAACCAUGCUACCAAAUAUCUUUAUAAAUCUCAGAUCAAUACUAUGGUCAGGGGUUCGAAUCCCGAGUGCACUGAAAUUGAACCGGAUUUGUUUUAAUUAGAAACAUACAUUUAAGUUUAAAUUUUUUUCUUCAAAAACAAAAUUCCAUGAUGAUUAUUUCAAUGAAUGGUUUGAUAUUGCACAUCAUGAACAGUUUAACUUUUUUUUGAAAUUCGAUUGUAGUUCAUCUUCAGAAACAAGUUCCGAUUAUUCUUUUAAUUUGCACAGGGUAUUUGGACUGGAAUGCUGCUUGGGGUAGUAAUGCAAUCACUUGUGCUGGGGUAUGUCACCUGGAAAACCGAUUGGGACAAUGAGGUAAGUAAUUAAAAUAAAUUCACCAAUAUGUACACAUCAUCAUCAAUUGCAUGCCUCAUUGAUGCUCAAUCUCUCUAAACUUUUCAAAAAAAGAAGUGUCAUAUUUAAUUUGUAGACUUCAAUCAUACAUUGAUGACAACACUAUUUCCUCUCUCUAGGUGAAGAAAGCAUCAGAGAGGCUCAAUAAGUGGCUCUUGAAGCCUUCUGAAGAAGAAUCCAACGGCAAUUAAACUCAACAAGUUAAGGUCCAACAUUGCUUGAAGAUCCUAAUAAUCUCAAUCAUGCAUGUAUUUUCUCUGCCAAUAAACCGAUUACCGUUAACACCAAUAACAACUUCAGAUCAAAUUUCUUUCUUUUUGUCUGUUGGCAAGAAGAGCUUGAUAAUGAGCUUGCGCAAAUGCAAUCUAAUAUUCUGAGGUUAAUUAAUUCAAGAAGUUGUAUCUUCAUAAGAAGUAUAUUUAAUGUUGUGUUUAUUUGUUGGAGUGGGAGGAGAAAUGUGGAUUCCUUCCACUCUGUCAAAGCAACCACCUAAAAGUCAGCCCUAAAUUUGGUACUUGACUUUGGUGCCAGCAAAUCAAAGAAAAUGGAGGACAUAGCCCACAAACUUUGAAAGCUAGAUUAACAAAUUGAAGCCACGCAGAUUGACGAAAUUGAAGCCAUAAUUGGUGGGCUAAAAUCGUUGAUUUUCUUGGCCACUAUUUUGCUAUAAAUAGAAGUGCAGAUGAAGAGCUAAUUCAUUCCAUUAAGAGAAAGAGCAAUUUAGCAUUUUGAGAGAGAGUUUAGAGAGCUUGAAAUUAUAAGCUCUUGUUAUAGUGAUUUGAGAGUUUGGGUGUAUUGAGAUUUUGGGAAGUGAGCUAAAAUACUACAAUACUUGUAACUCUUUUUUACUAGUAAAAUAUUUCCUUCUGUCUUUGCCCGUGGACGUAGGCUAAAAGCCGAACCACGUAAUUUUCUAGUAUCCUCUUUAUGCUUGUUCUUUAUUUUUCUUCCAAUUUUAUUUUAGCUGCGUGUCUGCUUCACACACCAAUUUCCUAACAUUGGUAUCAGAGCUAUUGGUUGUAUUUUUGGAGUCGGGUACUGUUCACGUAAGGGGUACUAUUCACGUAUACGAUACUGUUCACGUAUACGGUACUAUUCACAAGAAACGGUGGGAGCGAUUGUGUGGUUUUGUACAUGUCUAGGAAAGUUCUGUCACAAAGGCGAUAAGAGCUUAAGGAGUCUGGGUUUUAAGUGGGACCAUUAUGACCCCUCCAGUCUUUCCUAAGAACUUUCCUGGUGUGAAUUCUCACACAUACUCACAACUAUUCAAGGUGGUAUACUAGCUUGUGUGAAGUAUUUAUUAACAAAAUGGCGGCAAAGUAUGAAAUUGAGAUAUUUAACGGAAAUAAUUUUUCGUUGUGGAAAAUGAAGAUGAAAGCUGUAUUGAGGAAAAAUAAUUGCUUGGCAGCAAUUGGAGAAAGGCCCAUGGAGAUAACUGAUGACAAGUGGGACGAGAUAGAUGGCAACGCCAUUUCUGAUCUUCACUUGGCACUUGCAGACGGAGUAUUAUCCAGUGUGGCAGAGAAAAAUACAACGAAGGAAAUUUGGGAUACUCUCACAAAAUUGUAUAAGGCCAAGUCAUUACACAACAAAAUCUUCUUGAAGAGGAAACUCUAUACUCUUCGAAUGGCGGAAUCUACAAUAGUGACCGACCACAUCAACACCUUGAAGACUCUAUUUUCAAAACUCACAACGUUGGGUCAUAAUAUAGAGGAAAAUGAACGUACAAAGCUUCUACUUCAAAGUCUACCAGAUUCAAAUGAUCAACUCAUCAUCAACCUGAUGAACAACAAUCCAGCGAACAGUCUAGUUUUCGAUGAUAUUGUAGCGUCCAUAUUAAAUGAGGAGAGCAAGUGGAAAAAAAAAAACAAGCAAGUUCGCAGCAAGCGGAGGUGCUAUCAGUGAUGAGAGGGAGAUCAACGGAACAUGGCCCCAGUGGGAGUCACAAUAAUGGUAGAUCAAAAUCCAGAAGUAAGAAGAAUGUUAAAUGCUACAACUGUGGCAAGAAAGGGCACGUCAAGAAAGAGUGUUGGAGUACCCAGAAGAGAAGAGAGGGCAAAGAACCUGAGUCAUCAAAUGCUCAUGGGUGUGUAGCAAGUACCUCAGAUGAUGGUGAAAUUCUCUACAGCGAGGCAACAACUAUUUCAGAAGGCAGAAAAUGACUAUUUGAUGUCUGGCUUAUAAACUCAGGAGCUACCUGGCACAUGACCUCUCGGAGAGAAUGGUUCCACAUAUAUGAACCUAUCUCAGGAGGAUCUAUAUAUAUGGGUAAUGAUCAUACCUUGGAGAUCGCUGGUAUUGGUACUAUCAAAAUAAAAAUGUUUGAUGGUACAAUUCGCACAAUUGGGGAGGUACGACAUGUCAACGGCCUGAAGAAAAAUCUAUUGUCUUUGGGACAAAUGGAUAGUCAUAGGUACAAAACUCAUAUGGAGAAUAAAAUUAUGAAGAUUGUUAAAGGCGCGCUUGUAUUGAUAAAGAUAGAAAAGAUCGGUGCUAAUUUAUUCAUGCUUAAAGAAGAAAUACUACAUGAGGCUGAUGCGUGUGUCGCGUCAAAUGGAGAAGAGUCAACGAUAAUGUGGCAUCUCAAACUUGGCCACAUGUCAGAACAAUGUUUGAAGAUUCUCUCUGAGCGAAAAUUGCUUCCAGGGCUCAAAUCGGUUAGUUUACCAUUUUGCUAGCAUUGUGUUAUAAGUAAGCAACAUAGAUUAAAAUUCAGUAGAUCUAUUGCUAGAAGUAAAUGCAUUCUAAACUUGAUUCAUUCUGAUGUUUGGGAAUCACCGGAUAUAUCCAUGAGAGGUGCAAAGUACAUGGUGACUUUCAUUGAUGAUUAUUCCAGAAGAUGUUGGGUGUAUCCAAUUAAGAAAAAGUCAGAUGCAUUUCUAGUGUUUAAAGAAUACAAAGCGUGGGUAGAACUUGAAUCUGGUAAAAAAAUCAAGUGCUUGAGGACGGAUAAUGGUGGAGAGUAUACAGACGGUGAUUUUCUUGCUUUCUGUAAGAAAGGAAGUAUUCAGAGACAGUUCACUGUAGCAUACACUCCUCAACAAAAUGGAGUGGCGGAGCGGAUGAACAGAACUCUUACAGAAAGAAUAAGAGUUAUGCUGAAGAUUGCUGGUCUACCCAAUUCCUUCUGGGUAGAAACAGCCAAAACUGCUUGUUAUAUAGUAAAUCGGUCGCCAUCUAUAACUAUUGGGCUGAAGACAGCGAUGGAGAUGUGGACUGGAAAGCCAGUUGAUUAUUCCUACUUACAUGCAUUUGGAUGUCCUGUGUACGUGAUGUACAAUAUCCAAGAAAGAAUAAGGCUAGAUCCAAAAUCUAGAAGAUGUAUCUUCUUGGGAUAUGCUGAUGGAGUAAAGGGGUAUCGUCUGUGGGACCCCACUGCCCACAAGAUAGUCAUCACCAGAGAUGUUAUCUUUAUAGAAGAUCAACUGCAAAGGAGAGAUGAAGAUGAUAACAGUGUAAAAGAAAAGUCAGAGACUAUACCGGUAUAUGUGGAAAAUAAUCAUAAAGAUUCAGAUUCUUCUGAAGCAGCACCAGAGCACGAGGAACAAGAACCAGUUGAAUCCGAGGCUCCAUAAGUUCGUCGGUCAACUCAUGAAAGACGACCGCCAACGUGGCACUCGGAGUAUAUCACAGAGAUCAACGUUGCGUACUGUCUUCUAACGGAGCAUGGAGAGCCUUAAACUUUCUAUGAAUCUUUAAACAACUCAGAUGUUGCUUUUUGGAUGACAGCAAUGCAGGAAGAAAUUGAGGCUCUACACAAGAACAAGACAUUGGAACUUGUAUCACUACCACGUAGAAGAAAAGCCAUUGGAAACAAAUGGGUCUACAAGAUCAAGCGUGAUGGCAAUGACCAAGUAGAGCGGUAUCGUGCAAGAUUGGUGGUAAAAGGAUAUACUCAUAAAGAAGGUAUUGACUUCAAUGAGAUAUUUUCUCUGGUGGUUCGACUUACAACAAUCAGAGUAGUCUUGGCAAUGUGUGCUACAUUUGACUUACAUAUUGAACAGUUAGAUGUGAAAACUGCAUUUCUUCAUGGAGAACUUGAAGAAGAAAUAUAUAUGCUCCAGCCAGAAGGUUUUACAGAAACAGGAGAGGAGAACUUGGUUUGCAGGUUGAACAAAUUUCUAUACGGUCUUAAACAGACGCCGAGGUGUUGGUAUAAGAGAUUUGAUUCCUUCAUCAUGAGCUUUGGAUACAACAGACUCGUUCAGACCAUUGUGCAUAUUACAAGAGGUUUGAAGAUAAUGAUUUCAUCAUUUUGUUGUUGUACAUGGAUGACAUGUUGGUAGCGGGCCCCAACAAAGAUCGAGUCCAAGAAUUGAAGGCACAGUUGGCUAGGGAGUUUGAAAUGAAGGACUUGGGACCAGCAAAUAAGAUUCUAGAGAUGCAAAUUCACCGAGACAGAAAUAACAUGAAGAUUUGACUUUCACAGAAGAAUUACUUAAAGAAAAUCUUACGGCGCUUCAACAUGAAAGAUUGUAAGUCAAUUUCUACCCCACUUCCUGUUAAUUUUAAAUUAUCCUCAAAUAUGUGUUCUAGCAAUGAAGCAGAGAGGAAGAAGAUGUCUCGAGUACCGUAUGCAUCAGCAGUGGGAAGUUUAAUGUUCGCUAUGAUAUGUACUAGACCAGACAUUGCACAAGCAGUGGGAGCAGUCAGUCGAUACAUGGCAAAUCCCGGUGAAGAGCAUUGGAUAAUUGUGAAGAGGAUUUUGAGAUACAUCAAAGGAACCUCAGAUGUUGCAUUAUGUUAUGGAGGGUCAGAGUUUACUGUCAGGGGCUAUGUGGAUUCAGAUUUUGCAGGAGAUCUUGAUAAAAGAAAAUCCACUACUGGUUAUGUGUUUACACUUGCGGGAGCAGCUGUAAGCUGGGUUUUGAAACUGCAGACCUUUGUGGCUUUAUCUACAAUAGAAGCAGAGUACAUGACAGCUACACAAGCUUGCAAGGAAGCUAUUUGGAUACAAAGGUUAUUGGAGGAGCUCGGGCACAAACAACAGAAAAUUCCUGUAUUUUGUGACAGUCAGAGUGCCUUGCACAUUGCAAGGAAUUCAGCCUUUCAUUCCAGAACAAAGCAUAUAGGAGUUCAGUAUCACUUCGUUCGAGAAGUAGUGGAAGACGGAAGUGUGGAUUUACAGAAAAUCCAUACGAAGGAGAACCUAGCAGAUGUUUUGACUAAGCCAAUCAACACUGACAAGUUUGUCUCGAGUAGAUCCUCUUGUGGCCUAGCAGAAACGUAGGCAACAUGAUUAUGGCGAAGCAGAAAGGAUGGUGUGGAGAUUGAUUGCUUUUCAAUCUAAUCUCUAAGUGGGAGAAUGUCAAAGCAAGGACCUAAAAGUCAGCACCAAAUUUGGUACUUGACUUUGGUGCUAGCAAAUCAAAGAAAAUGGAGGACAUAGCCCACAAACUUUGAAAGCUAGAUUGACAAAUUGAAGCCACGCGGAUUGACGAAAUUGAAACCAUAAUUGGUGGGCUAAAAUCGUUGAUUUUCUUGGCUAAUAUUUUGCUAUAAAUAGAAGUAUAUAUGAAGAGCUAAUUCAUUCCAUUAAGAGAGUUUAGAGAGCUUGAAAUUAUAAGCUCUUGUUAUAGUGAUUUGAGAGUUUGGGUGUAUUGAGAUUUUGGGAAGUGAGCUAAAAUACUACAAUACUCGUAACUCAUUUUUACUAGUAAAAUAUUUCCUUCUGUCUUCGCCCGUGGACGUAGUCUAAAAGCCGAACCACGUAAUUUUCUAGUAUCGUCUUUGUGCUUGUUCUUUAUUUUUCUUCUAAUUUUAUUUUAACUGCGUGUCUGCUUCACCCACCAAUUUCCUAAUACACUCUAAUAUUUACUUGUUUAUUUAAGAAGGGGGGUGGAAGUUCCACUCCAUGGAUUCCACUCAUUUUUGGAGUGUGCAGUGGGAUUCCUACUCCCACCUUUUUUUUUUUUUUAGCAUUUCUUUAUUAAAUAUAAUAUAAUUAUAUUUAUUAAAAUAAAGUAAUGUCACAGUUACUUAAAAAUAUUAAUAUUAAACUUAUUUGAAUAUAAUAUUAUUAUAUUUAGUGAAAAAUAAUAAUUUAUUUAAUCUAAGUUAAAUUAUUUUUAAAUAUUAUUAUUAUACUUGUGGAGAACUAAUAAUAUUACUUUUCAUUUAUUUAAUUUUAAUAGUAUUAUAUUUAUUUAAUGUUAAUAAUUAAUAGUAAUAAAUAAUUAUUCUAAAAAAAUAUAAUUUUGUACUAUAUUAUUAAUAAUAAUGUUUCAUGUAUUGCUAUUAUCAGGAAUUUGUAACUUACAUAAUUAAAAUUAAAAUUAAUAAAAACAAUUGUGAUUUAAAUAAUUAAGAAUAUUAUAAUAAUUAUCAAUUUAUAUAAUUAAAAUUAAUAAUAAAAUAAAUAGUUUAUUUUACAAAUAUUUUUUUAUUCGCUUUGUAAUUACAAACCAAUUCUUUAAAUAUGAGUAAAACUGUAAUUUGAAACAAUUUGCUCCUAACCCAAGACAAAAUAAAUACAUAAUGAGAUUCUAAUUCAUAUUCCACACUUUCAUUUCAGUAUAAGUAAACAACAUAUUCAAACUCCUACUUCAUACUCGCAAUCCUAGAUUUCCACUUCUUAGAAUUUUCAAUUCAAUCCGAGAAUUAAAUGCUACCUUAAACAUAAAGACAACAAAGAGUACUUAUUAGUUUGCUAUUAUUCUCAAUUUUGGUUAUAAAUUUUAGAGACUGCAUUUGAUUAAAACGUUGGACACGGCUAUAUUUGAAUUUUAAAGCACUAACUUGAAGUAUGAAUUGGCUUUUGGAUUAAAAUUCACACACUUAAUAUAUAUAUUAGCUUUCCAAUUAGAGAUAUCUGACUUUAAUAAAGUCAGGGAUAAGUUAAAAGACAAAAUAAACACAGACUCAAAUACAAUGUAUUUGGUCUUGUAAUGUAUUGAUUUUUUUUUUAAUCUUUUAAUUAAUCUAUGAUUUUAUUAAAGUUAGAGAUUCAUAAUUAGAAAACCACUAUUUAUUUAUAUAUGAUCUAGUGAAUAAUAUAAUUCUCACCUUAUGGUGAACAAUACUGUCGCUACUCAAUAUAUACUAGCGCACCUGUGCAUGGUAAAAUAGUAAAUAAUAAAUUUUCCAUCCCCACUAGCUAAUUAAUCAGCAACUUAUUGAAAAAUUGGCGUCAUAUACAACAUUGCUUGCGUCGCAAAUAAAUAUAUAUGUCUGCAAUAAAAUUAAUACUUGAUCGUAGCUCAUGUUUGGCUGCGUAUUGCCAGUUAAAUAUACGAGAGACAAACAAUAUGUCGGUUUUGGUCAAACAAAUAUUUGAACAUAUCUUAACAUUAACUAGUUUGCACUUUGUAGCUCUAAUUUUGCUCUUUAAUUUCUAUGAUUAAUGUGUUGGGUAUCUCAUUCGACAUGUGUGAUGAUUUUAAUUAAUCCGAUGAGCUAGCACGUGUAGCUAGAUAUAUUAAAGUUCUACUUGAUUAAUUUGUAAAAAUAAAUGGAAAUUAAUAUACAUAUUACAAGAGAGAGCUGAUUAACGAUCAGUAUGCCAUUGAUCAAUUAAAUGUAUAUAUAUCUGGCUUCUCUUACUGAGCAGCAUUCCAAUACUCAUUUUAAUUUUGAUUAUAAUUUCAAUUUAUUUAGUGGAUAAUACAUCUUAUUACAGCAACAAUAUUGCUUCCUGGGUUUAUCGUCUCAAGUUCAAUCUUCAAAUUUCUUGGCCAAGGCAAAGACAUAGCAAAUAGGGCAGGACAUUUCUUGCCCAUGGUUCAUUGCCGUUAUUUGUUUUUGGCACUUUCACUUGACCAUACAAAGGCACCUACGCUCACAGCUUGAAAACUCAAAUUAUUUAUGUCACUGGUGGUUGAUGCCCUAAUACCUGGAGAGGAUUCAAUUUAGAUUCUUUUGCUGAUUUAUUUCCUCUAAUUAAACUCUCGACAUCUUUGAACGUAUGAUAUGGUACAUAAGUGCAACCGAGCAUUCUUAAUAAAAACUAAUUACUCAUUAAAUUUAUGAAAAAAUGCAGAGUUGAGAUAUCUGCCAUCUCCAUAUGGUAACUCUAUGUUGGUUCUAUUUUUUUUCUUUCUUACCCCGAAAUUGGAUUUUCAAUGCGCUGCAAGCUACAUUACAGAACGAUAUAUAUAUAUGUAUACUACAUAACUGUCUAAUGUUUUUUGCUUCGCUUUUAUUGUUUCGGUCCCUAUAAUUUUUUUUCCUUCUUUCGAAUUACCCAUUAUAUCUCUUAAGUUAAAAUUUUGAUAUUCAAAUUUACUGUACAAAAGAUAAUAAUAAUUUUAACAAGUAAAAUCUAUCACAUCUUUUGACAAACACAUUAGAUUAGACUAUCAAAAGUAUAUAUGAUAGUAAUAAAAAUAAGAAAAAUGUGUUUUUUUUCUCUGGUCAUUUACUUGUUUUAAGACUAUGGAUAUAAUGGGUUAUUGAAAACUACAUACAUCCAUAAAUAUAUUUUAGUGAUCAUUAGGGUCUACCAUAUAGAAAGCAUCUAAAAACGUAGCAGGACUGUGAGACAUCCUAUAAAUAGUAUUUAAAUUGUGGAUUAAUAAGAUAAUGUCACGUGACACUGUCGCUCAUCAUUAGGUAAUUACUGCCGCCCAUUAUAUCAUUACUUCCCCAUAUACUAUGGAUAUAAUGGGUUAUUGAAAAAUACAUACAUACAUAAAUAUAAUUUAGUGGUUAUUAGCGUCUACCAUGUAGUAAGCACCUGAAAACAUAGCAGAACUUUGAGACAUCAUGUAAAUAAUAUUUAAAUUGUGGAUUUAUAAGACAACGUCAUGUGACACUGUCACUCACCAUUAAGUUAUUAUUGUCGCCCAUUAUAUCAUUACUUCCUCAUAUGCAUAUAUUAAGAGUGUCAUAGGCAUAUACAGAGAGUGAUCAAGUAACGUUGAGAAUAAGAGGACAGAGAGUGAUCUUGUAACAGUAUAGUAGCAUAUAUUAACAUUUGCUGCUAUUAUGUGAUUGGUACCUGUACGAGCUUUUCAUGUACGUGGCCAAUCUCAAAGUCAAGAUAUCAAUUCAUCUUUGUAUUUCUUACUUUUCAUCUUUUUCCCUCUUGAUAAAGAACUUCAUAGAUUUAAAUUUAGCAUCUUUUACAGAGGAUAUAUAAUUUGAUAUUUAUCGUUAAUAUAGCUCUUAUGUUUUUUUAAUCGGUAAAUGUUCCUUUAAUCGCGACUGUUUGAGCAAAUUAUCAUUUCGUUAGUUCGUUCACUAUUUUAAAAUUGCCCAAAAAUUAAAGUCCUCUCAUAUAAUCUAUUUUUUACUUAUUACCUCUUGCUUUAUUUGAAUUUUUAAGUUAUAUCAAAAUGAAGUAUUAUUUUAUUAGGCCCCUUUGAGAUUACUUUUGAGAGAGUUAAAAAUAAUUUUGAAAAGUUAAAAGCUAAUUUUGGUGUUUGAUAAUUUUUUUAAACUACUUUAAAAAAUUACCUCAUCCCAUAGCAGAGUUUGAAUAGUAGGAAAGAUUAGCUUCAUAAUAUUUAAUUUUGAAAAUGAGUUUUGUACUUAAUGCAAUUUCAUAUAUAUCCUCACAUAUAUAAAAAUCCAAAAUUAUCCUUAUUUAAUUGUGAAAUAAAAUCAUUAAAUUUAAAGAGAUUACUAUUAUUAUCAAUUAUAUUGAAUAACAAAAUACAAAAUACAAAAAAAAUAUUUUUUAUUAAUUAUUAUAUAUACACAAUAAAAAUAAUAUAUAAAAAUGACAAUAAAUUUAUGAAAAAACAAUUAUUGAACAUAAUAUCUAUUUGAGUCAUUUGCAUGUAUUCUUGCAGUAAUUUAAUAGUAAGAUUUACCAAAAAUAUAUGAUUAGUUUUAAAACUCAUAACACUUUUAAAAAUAAUUUUUUCUAUAUAUUAAACGAUUGCCUACACAACUGAUUAUUUUUAAAGCACAACUAAUAUUAAUUAUUUUAAAAGCUGCACUUAUUACCAAAUUAGCGUAAUCCAACAGUUAUAAAAGUAAUGAUAGAGAAUUUUGGAUAAAUUUUAAAAAUACAGGAACUAACUAGGUAAUUAACCCAAUCCAAAAGUACUAAAGAAGCUUUUACCCUAUUUUGAUCAUGAUGCCUUACUUUGGAGUACAUGGAAUGGCUUGUUGUAGUUCAUUUUUCAAAAACUAGAUGAAUAUCUUCAUUCAAUUAAUUUGCGCAUGGUAUAUGGAUUGGAAUGCUGCUUGGAGUAGUAAACCAAUCAUCGUGCUUGGCUAUGUUCCAAGAAAACCGACUGGGACAAUGAGGUAAAUAUUUAAAUUAAAUGAAGUUUCAUUCUAUGAAGCAUUAAUAUUGUAAUUAAACAUGAAUUGUGUAAAUGAUACAUAAGACAUAUAAAUUCAAUAGAAAAAUUAUAAAUCAAUAAUAAGCAUAAAUAAAACAUAAAUAAUGUAAAUGCAACAUAAGACUUAGAAAUGAAAGGUAAAACAAGUAAAUUAACAUAAGAAUGGUAAAUUGGUGUUCCACUAGCAAACAAAACAAAAACUUUCAAAUGAAACAUAAAAUUUAUAAAUCAACAAUAAGUGUAAAAUAGAACAUAAAUUGUCUAAAUAAAACAUAAGAUUUCUAAAUAAAAGGUAAAACAAGUAAAUCAACAUGAAAAUGAUAAAUUAGUGUAUCAAUAGUAAACAAAAGAAACUUACAAAUAUAAUAUAAAACUUAAAAAUUAAUAAUAAGUGUAAAAUAAAACAUAAAAUUAAAUAAAUAAAACAUAAGACUUAUAAAUGAAAGGUAAAAUAAAUAAAUUGAUAUAGGGAUGACAAAUUGGUGUAUUAUUGGGAAACAAAAUAAAAAAUUACAAAUGUAUUAGAUCCAAUUUUAUUGAUAUAUCAUAUAUGUCUAAUAAGAAUUCUUUUUAUUUUAUUUUACCUUGAUCCACAUCAAGAAAAAUGAUUUUACAUAAUUAACAUGUAUAGUAAAUAAAUACUUUAUAUGAUAGAAAAUUAAAAAAAAAGUUUAUAAAGUCCUAAGACGAAUAUAGAAUUGAAUGCCAAUUGCUUUCAAUACAAUUUUUUUUUUAAAAUUUCAAUUGACAGGUGAUUUUUUUAUUUGCUUAAUUACACUAAAUGAAUAAAUUAUUGUUUUUGGAGAUAAAAUAAAAAUAGUAGGACAACUUUCGAAGUUUUUCUUCGUUAGCUUGGCUGUAAAGAAACAAUUGUUCCCCUUUUUUACACACACACCAAAAAAAAAAAAAAAUUGAAAACAUAACUGUUUGAACGUGUUAAAUCUCUAAAAGUUCGGCUCUAAAUUGCAUAAAAACGCUAAAUUUGUGAGACCUAAAAUACCGUUCACGUAAACAAAACGAUAUUAUUAAUCAUGCAAAAUCAUUUAUUCAUGAACAGGAUCUCCGCCAUGUGAUACACGCCCAUUUCAUCUUGUACCUAUAAAAUCUUAAAUAUAUGCAUAUAUAAAAAUUUGUGGAAGGGUUUACUGAAGGAUUGACUGACAGUAUGAUGAGCUGCCAAAUACUAUUAGACAAGGAACAAAAUUCUGUGCUUCAUGAAAAUUAAGAAGUAGAUUUUUAGAAAGAUUCUAACUAGCUCAUCAUUUUUAUCUGUAUUCUCAAAACAAUCAUUUUUCACGAACUCAGUUGUAAAUAAAUAAAUGGAAUAAGAGAAUGAUCCAACAGAUUUACUGAUUGGAACUAAUUAAUGAUGAUUUUGGCUUAAAUGCAAACCGAAUGGCUUUGCCUACUCAUUGAAGUUCAAGAGAAUAAAGAAUACGAGAAACUGAACAAUACAAAUAUAUACGAACAAAGGAUUAAAGUACAUGGGGAAAAGUUGUUACAGUUACAAUACAAAUCGAAGUCAUAAUCCAAUUAUUUAUGACAAGAGAUCAUCCAAGUCCAGCAUCAAGCCGAAUGAACAGCGCACAUCCCCUAUUGGUUCUUCAGCAUCAUCAUGAAGUAAGUCUUCCAGAAAAGAAUAGUCUUCCUCAAUUAACUCAGGUAGUCCAUCACUGUCUUCGUGUUGCACCAAUGAUUCAGGCACCGCCAUGGGCACUUCAACAAUACUCUCCGAAUGACAAUGAUAAUUCUCUCCAGUUUCUCUACCCUGAAGCAUGUUGUUCCCGGAGUCAUAUUGUUGGUUACAUAUCAUCUGAUCAAAAUGACUCAUCAUCAUCUCCAUGGAUGGCUCGUAAACACUGCUUGCAAGCCCAGCUAAGCUCUGCUCACUCAUCAUGCCAGCACUGCUGCAACUUACUUCUUGAUAAUCCAUAUAGUUCUGUUGCUGAUUCUGCUGGUGGGUGAACGGCCUAUCCAUCUCAAUAUCUGCUACUUGUUCGGAUUGAUUGCUGUUGUCUUGAAAAUCCUUCAGCUUUCUUUUCUUUGCAGAACCGUACUUCAUAAUAUCAUGGCCAGUUGGUUGAUUCUUUCGGAGCCUGCAAAGCACAUAACUGGUAGCUUGAUUCUUGGGCAAAUGUAGAGUGUACUCGUGCAUGAUCCAAGCCCCGUGAUCCUCACAGCCUUGUUUUUCGUAACGAAACCGCUUCUUGGAGCCGAUUUUGAUUUUGGAUUGGCCGCUUACUAUAUCUUUACCAGCAUCCUCCCCUUGCCAAGUACCGCCGGAAGAUCCCACUUUGCGGUCGAUUCUGGAACCCUUGGAAGACUUUUUCUUCAACUGGGUGAAGAAAUAAAGAUCCUCAUCAGCAUUUAAAAAGGGUCCUCCAUGAGAAUCCCAAAUCUCAGAGGGUUUUUCCUCGUAAAGAUUACAAUCCCUGAUGAAAUACUCAGCAAGGUGAAUGAAUAUUCCCGAAACUUUCUUCUUGAGAUAAUGUUCGAUGAGUUCUUCAUCGGAUGGUCUGAACUGAAAGCCAUGGGGAAGAAAGGGUCUGUGUUCUUGCAUUUUGUUUGAGGAGAAGAUGGUUAAUUCAAUGGUGGGUUGGUUGAUUGAUUGAUGAUUGAUGGAGGAAAUUUUUUCGGUGAAUUAUUGAAAACAAAGAACACAGAAGCUGAGAGAGAAGCAAAGACAGAGUCAGAGAAUUAGAGAAGUGGUGAGAAGUGCGGGUGUUAAAGUUUCCUUAUAACAUAUGGACGAGUGAAGUGACGUAGCUUGGAUUACAAGUAACAAUUUCCUAAGGCAACUCCGAGAAACGCGGGUGAACUUGCGAGUUGGGUAAGAAGUCCUGACAUUUAAUAACCUUCCUAAAUCGGACAAAUCCAAGAAGCCGUUGAGCUUGAGGCUGACGCCAAGUCGGUCUUUAGAAAAAAAAAUCUAUUUUUUUUAAUAUUUCGUGAGUAUUAGAUAUUAUUAUUAUUGUGAAAAAAUAAAAGAAAACUCAGAAGUCCCCGAAAUCAUAAAAUGCAAAAAUGUUAAAAUGCGGUUCUUCCUUUGCUAAUUGCUAAACCCUAACCCUAACCCUAAUCCCCAUUUUGUCUCCACUUGAGAUUAGAUAUUUGGUGUUCUCAGAAGUUCUGUGAGUGGCAUUAGCUAAUCAUGCAACUAUGGGAUUUUAAUUCCCCUAUACUGUAGUGCUGAAUUUUCGGUCUUGUGCACCUCUCCAACUAAUUACCACGUCUGUAUUGUAAAUAGACGGUUACGAAUAAUCCCGCCAAAAUAAUAGGAAUUAGACAUAUGGCCAUUCCAAAUAGAAAGAAUCAUUUGUUUUUAAUUCUUUUUUCCAUUACUAUUGUGAAAUAAAAUUACUAGAUUUCAGAUAAGAUUUCAAAUAAUAAUGGAUUGGUGUUAAUUAAAUACUAUUUAUAUAUCUAGAUUAUUUAAAGCUAAUUUGAAAAUGUUCGUAACCUAAUUUUUGUUCUUUUUAAGGGAAAAAAAAGUCAAACUUUUUAAAGUAUUAUUUGGAAUUUUUUAUUUGUAUAAUGUGAGUAAUAAAUAAUUUUAAAUGUUGUAAAAUUUAUCCAUAAUAUUUAAAACAUAUAGUAUUAUCCUUUAAAACAUUAAAUGAUUAUUUACAAAUGAAUAUUUUUAUACCCAAAACUACACUAAAUUGGAAUAUUUGAAUGUCAUUGUAGCCUCAAUGUCAUAUCUUGGGAAUUUAUGUUGGUCUUUGGCUUCAUGGCUGCCUCUGGGUAUGUCUCUAAAAAUGAUCAUCUCCUUCAAAUAAUAACAUAGAAAAAAGAAAGAAUAGUAACAUCUUUUGGUAUGGUAAAUAGUCACAAAAAUUCUCUUAUUUAUAGAAAUGGUGACACAGACCCUUUUUUAGUAUAUAAAACUAUCUUUUCUGUGCAUAAAAUUGUUAAACAAACUCCAAAAAAUUAUCCAAAAAAGGUGUUCUGUGUGAUCAUUAUUCUGAAAUAAAUGAAUCCCUGUCACUAUUUCUCCAAAUCACGGGUGUCGCCAUCUUUUAUUAUAUUCAUAUCAUCUCUUGUAUGUUAUUUGGUUUUCUAGUGUGCGGCUUUCAAAUGAACUGGGGAGAGAUGCUAAAGCUGCGAAAUUUUCCAUAUUCUUAUGAACCAUGCCACCAAAUAUCUUUAUAAAUCUCAGAUCAAUUCUAUGGUCAAGGGUUCGAAUCCCGAGUGCACUAAAAUUGAACCGGAUUUGUUUUAAUUAGAAACAUACAUUUAAGUUUAAAUUUUUUUCUUCAAAAAAAAAAAAAAUUCCAUGAUGAUUAUUUGAAUGAAUGGUUUGAUAUUGCACAUCAUGAACAGUUUAACUUUUUUUGAAAUUCGAUUGUAGUUCAUCUUCAGAAACAAGUUCCGAUUAUUCUUUUAAUUUGCACAGGGUAUUUGGACUGGAAUGCUGCUUGGGGUAGUAAUGCAAUCACUUCUGCUGGGGUAUGUCACCUGGAAAACCGAUUGGGACAAUGAGGUAAGUAAUUAAAAUAAAUUCACCAAUAUGUACACAUCAUCAUCAAUUGCAUGCCUCAUUUUUUUUUUUUUGUGAAAAGAAAGUAAAGCUUUCUAAAAUAUAAAAUUUGAGAGUAACAUCAUGAUCUGGACUAGAAACUCUUCCAGCCAUAUAACAGAAUUCUCAAAAUCGAGAGCCACUUUUGGUAUAGCAUGAGCUAUGGCAUUACACUUCCUUGGAACAUACUGUAAUGAAAAUGCAUUCGAGAUCUGCAGCUGUUGUUUUAUUUCUUCUACUGUCCAAGAAACUUCAGUCAAGCUACUUUUCCUUCUCCAGACCAGCUCCACCACUUCUGUUGAAUCUGAUUCAAUAAUCAUAGGCAAAUAUUCUACUUGUUGGGCAACUUGAAUGCCAAAAAGGACUGCUUCAGCCUCCAUGCUCGCCACUGUCACUACUAGAAAAAUGGUCUUUACUGACUUUAGAAUAGUGUCAGAAAUUACUUUCACUGACACUUGUUAAUUGUGUCAGUAAUCUGGGAGUCAAAAAAAUAGUGACACUUGUAAGUGGUGUCAGUGAUUACUAUUACUAUAGUAUCACCGAUAUUAUGACACCAUAGUGUUAGUAGUUAUUGAUAUUUUAUUAGUGUCUAUGAUUACUGUUACCAUGGUAUCACUAGUUAAUUUAUUUUAAAAAAAAUAAAAAAUUAAAUUGGAUCAUUGCCUAUUGAUUUAUUUGUAAAAUUAAAAGCACCACAAAAUAACAAAAAGAAAUUUAUUUAUAUCACAAAAUCUUUCAUUUCACAUUUAAAUAUUAUUACCAUAUAUUACAAAUUGAACUUCAAUAGCCAAAAUAUGAGAUAUCCUACUCUCAUAACUAAAUAAUCCAAAUUCAAUAUAUAAAAAUUAGUCUCUAUCCCUAUCUAACCAACUUCCAUCAGAAUUAGCCUCAUCACUUCUGCUUUCACUGUGAUAAUUGGAGCGCCUCCGACUCCAAGUUGUUUCAUGAACUUGACGUUCAUCAUCAUGGCUUCUGCCAGAACCACUUUUCACACGAUCAGCCUCCCUUGAUCUAGACCUUCUGUAAUGAUGCCUGCAUAAGAAAUUACAAAACCAUAAAUAACCAGAAGAUUUCUAACAUCAGCAAUAAAUACAUUAAAUAAUGAAAUUUGAUCAUAGUUUGGAUCAUCACCCCUUGUACAUAAGAUUGCAAUGCUACAUCACCAAUAGACCAAAAAACCAACAGAAGAACUUUCUUUAAAUCUUGCAUUGUGAGAACAUCUUUUCAUUAUUCAUUGCUUCUAAGAAAACCGAGUUAGGAGACUUGAAGAAAACACAAAUGAAGAGAACGAUACAAUGAAGAAACCUCUCAAAAUCAUCGGUCAAACAUGGAAGUUUAAACUAAAAAAUUCAAAUAACAGAAAGUGAAUUAAAUAAACAAGAGUUCAUAUAUACCAAGUACAGUUUUUAGUGUCUAUGACUAGUAAUAAAAGCAUACCUGUCAGCAUUAGUUGAAUCUAUCUUGUUCCUCGUUUGUCCUGAGCAUUCUUGAUUCCAGGUCCCAGAUUCAUUAGAAUAACCAAAUAAAGCAGCCAUCUUUUUCACCCAAUAUCUCGGAGGUGGUUUAUCCCAAUCAGCCCAUUCAUAGUCUCCCCCAGGGUUGCGGAAACAGUGGAUAAAAUUGCAAGCCAUUCCACGAGAGCAUGUCUGUUAAAAUAUGCCCAACGAAGAUAAUAAGAGUGUAAAGAAAAGAAGAAAAGAAACAAACUCAUUUCAUAUCAAAAGCAAAAUGGCAAAGAAAAAAGCAAGUGUAUAAGCCGCACAAUUAUAACUCUAAAAAAUGAGACAAUUGGCUGUACCUUUAGUCUUGACUUCAUAUAUUCCCCACAUAUGGCAAUCUUCCAUCUAGUCCUAUUAAUAUAUUCACAUGUGAUAUGUCAAGAAACACACAAAUAAAUAAACCAUCACCAUCCAGAAAAUGACAAGCUGUAAAAUUCAGUAAACAGUAAUGUGUUGAUUACAAUUUAAGCAUGGAGAAAAAUUUCAGAUUAGCCUAUGUCAACAGUGUCCACAGAUAGUUAAAAGAUGGGAGAAUGUGCUGGCGUUCACUAAGCAUAUAAUUUUUCACAGCUUAACCCAUUGCAAUUUUACCAGUGUCAAGUCUAAAGGAAACUAGUCAGGAAUCUUCUGUAAAGUAAAUAAAUAUUGAAACAACUGUUCUCAUAGCAAUAAAAUGAAAUUAUUUUAAUAAUUUUCUUCAACUUUCAGACCAAUUAAACAAGUAAAGCAAUUUUAGUACAAUGCACAGCAAUUUAAGCUGAAUGGACAAUUGGAACAAUUACGGAACAACUAGACCCCAACGAAUACUGUAAAAACAACCCUUAAACAAUGACUUAAGAAAGUAGAAGCUUCUCUUAAGAAAGUAGAAGCUUCUCCUAGUUCAUGCCUUUUCAAUCUCCCUUUGCUAAGAAAGUUGCCCUGGUAUUUAAGACUAUCCAAAUCCUGUCAAUAUGUUGGGACAUUCAAAUACAGCCUCCAAGAAGACACGCUGUAAGAUUUACAACUGAAGUCUGUCGGAUAAACCAAAUCUUAUACCCAAUGCCAAGAGCUUUAAUUUAAUCCAUUUUAACAGGCACCAAUUACCAGGAAUGCAGGCAGACAAAGAGGAUCAAAAUGACAGGAUAUCAGUAUUCUGAAAUUUCUAUCAGAAAAAUGAAAAGUGGCAAGGCCUAUUCACUGAGAGCCAAAAUUUUUUUAAAUAGUAUUUACUUUAUAUAAAACAAAUAAAUAUAAAGUAGAAAGUAAGCUCCAACAAUUCUUCACAAAGACCUGUUUCCCAGCAAAGUAACGACCAUUGACAGAAUGGUAAGCGAGAACAGCUGAUUCCAGCGACUUAUAGAGAACAUAAACAUUUCCUCUCAAGUGGGAAGAACCAUUUCUACACACCUGCACAUAUUUGUUAGUUAGUAUAAGCAGAAAAGGAAGAAACCCAUGCCUAAAUCUUACAGAAUACCGAGUCUACAAGAAAUGCUAAAUAAUGUCCAUAGAGUUUCAAUUAAUCUGGGAGGCCAGAGAAUGAUUAAAGAAAGAGUAAUGAAAGAACCACAACCAUCUUGUACAAACAAGGGCAUACAAACUAAUAUGGCAUGAGGAGAUUGAUUGUAUGAAACCAUCCUAGGUCUACAUAGUUGAAAAAAAUAACUGUUAUCACUUUUCAGCCAAGCUCUUCAUACCACAUCAGUUGGUACACACUAAGCUGUAAAAAUUUGUUUGUGGCUCUGUCAUUAUUGUCAAAGAAAAUGGUGACAGCUAGUUUUCUUCAUAUUUAUCAUUUUUGCUAAUCUCAAAAUUGCGAUAUUUGAAAAACCUAAGAAAAGGGUAAUAGAAAUAAAGAAACUUGAGAAACUCCAAGACAACAAGUACAUUUACAGAAAAUAGUUAACAACAUUGAAAUUGACAAUUUCACCAAACUUCAGGAACUCCGUAUGAACAUCCUCAUAAAAUUCUUCAUAAGAGCGUUCAACUUCUUCAUCUGUAUACUGAAAAGAAAGAAAGCAAAUCAACCAAAAUUUUUUUUUGCGUAUGUUAACAUCAAAAGCAUAAAAUCAAAAGAAAAGUAUGAAAGUAUAGUCUGUAAAGAACAACUUAAAGUUAUAGGUGAAUGAAGUAAAAUGGAAAAAAAUGAAUGCAGCUAGAACAACAACACUAGGUAGUAUGACUGCAGCUAGUGGUGCCAUAUCAAAGCCACUGCUCCGCUUGCUGCAGAUAAAAUAGAAAAGGUAAAAGAAAUAAUGAACAAAGACAUAAACGCCAUACUUAUCCUAAUUUUAUCUGUUUACAGAAUGAAGAUAACAUAUCUCAAAAGUUGAACAUGUAAAGCCUUUCCCCAUAUAAUAAUUAACAAGGAACUUUCACAGUUUCACCACCUCAAUGACCACAUUUAAAUUAAUUUGUUCUAUACCUUUUGGAAAGAGCACGGGAAGGAGAGAGUGAUUUUGGCCGAUUCCUCAAUCUGUCACUUGAAUGGGAACACGAUCUAUGUCUACGCCUUCUUUCUUUGCCUCUAUUAUACUCACGAUACCUACAAAAAAAAAGUGAUUAAUUUUAAUUAUUGAGCAUCAAAGAUGCAUUUCACACUUGUAAAUAAAGUUUAGGGUUUUUGUUUUCUAAUUUAUUUGGUUCUUUCAUCAAUCAUUUAAUCAAUUUUCUAUAGAUCUGAUCUAAAAAUAUAAAAAUCAAGAAAUUAAUCACUCUUUUUUUUAAUAAAAAAAUUAAAUUACAACCUGAUUCCCUCAUUUUCUAAAAUUCACGAAAUAAAGAGAUAACACAUGUUAAAAAUUUUCAAAUCUAAUAUGAAAAUAGCCAUCUAUCGCACAUACCUCGCUUCUUAUCUUUUAUCUUUAUUAUGAAUGAAAAGAACAACGGCUGAUGGUCGCCUAGACGAUGAUGACAAGCAACGAUGAGAGCCGAAGCGAAAUGACCGCGACAAAUGAGAGGCGAUACCGCCAUGACGAAUGAGAGACAACGAUCAUGAAGACUGGAUGACGAUCGCAAGGGGAGGCAAAGCGACGACCGCGAAGACUAGAUGACGGUAGUUUGGGCAAGGCAGUGAGAUAGGAGAUCGUGUUUUGAGAGUUAGAAAAUUAGGGUUCUUUCAUUUCUACUUACAAGUUCUUUUUCUAAUUGGUUUUUUGUGUUUAUAUAAAUGUUUUUUUGGCUAAUACCUUAAAACACAGUUACAAUGGUUUUUUUCUUAAAUUUAAAAGUUUGACUGUUGGAAGUCUUGGGUUCGAGUUGUAUGUGGAACAAGAUUAGAAUUAUUAUAUUUUUUCAACUGAUACUUUGGUGUCAGAGAUCUCUGAUGUCUAACUUACAGACACCAUCGUAUCAGUAAUUUGUGAUACUUAAAUGUUAAAUACGGAAAAUGGUCCACAUGUAUGUAAAUACUGAUACUUUUUAAAAAAGUGUCACGAGUUAAGCAUCAGUAAAGACCAUUUUUCUAGUAGUGUGUUCCCUGAAAGCACACCUUCUUAACAGCUGCAGCAAUGAUUUUUCCAUUGGAAUUCCUAACCACUGCCUCCAACCCUGCCUUUAGACCUGCCAUUUGAAUCGCAACAUCCACAUUGACUUUAUACUUCCCCUCUGGAGGAGGUGUCCAAAUUUGUUGGUUAUUUUGAUAAUGAAGUGAUCUAGCUGGACCGUUUUGGGUUUUGAUUCUCUUAUAUGACUCCACAAUAGCUGAUGCUCUAGCUGCUGUCAGUUUUGGCUCUUCCUGCUUUCCUUCAAUUACAAAGCGGUUCCUCGCAUACCAAAUGGCCCAACAUAUUGCAAGAAUCUACUCAAUCUCUUUCUUCAUUCUUCUUGAUGCUAGUUCUUGGAGCAUACUCAGUAUGUCAUGCUGAGACAACAACUUCAUAUCUUCGUAAAAAUCUGUCAACUUCCAGACUUUCCGAGCAGUCUUACACUCCAUUAACACAUGAGUGACAUUCUCACUUUUACAAUGACAUCUUUGACAGGCUGGAUUCCCCACCACAUUUUUCCUCCAUAGAUUAUUGGCUAUUGGUAAUAGAUUCUGAGCAGCUCUCCACAUGAAAAUUUUUAUUUUUUCUGGAAUUUCAUUUGACUAAAUUACCUUCCAUUGAGUUUUAGAGCUAUCAGAGCACUCCGGAUUAUCUGAGAAUUUCAUUCUAACUGCCACCUGGUAUCCACUUCUUACUGAGUAACAGCCAUACUUAUCAAAGUGCCAAAUCAUCAGGUCUUCCUGGGGAGUUCUUGGCAGAGGGGUUCUUAGAAUCCUUUGUGCCACCUCUUCGGGAAAACAUUGCACAACCUUCUCCUCCAUCCACUGAUUUUUGUCAUCAAUAAAAUCAGCAACAACAACAUUUUCUGCUAAAUUUUGGUGAGGAACGUAGCUGGAACAUUCGAGUUUUUGCAUCCAAUUCCUGCUGGACACUGAGACCCGGUUUCCAUUACCUAUUCUCCAUCUUAAGCCUUUGUGCAACACUUGUCUCUCCCAUAAUAUACUUCUCCAAACAAAAGAGGGAUUUGACCCCAAUUUUGCCUCCAUAAAGUCAAUAUGCUUGAAGUACUUGGCUGUUAAAAUUUUUGACAUUAAAGCAUCAGGAUUAUGUAGGAUCCUCCACCCCUGUUUGGCGACAAGGGCUUGAUUAAAGCUUGAAAAGUCCCUAAAACCCAGACCACCCUUAAUCUUGGCCUGACACAAUUUCUCCCACCUUGCCCAAUGAAUCCUUCUAUGAGUUUCGGAUGAUCCCCACCAGAACCUUGCUACAGCCUUUUGUAUAUCAUCACACAGCCCUUGAGGAAUUUUAAAUACGCUCAUCGCAUAGGCAGGCACAGCUUUGAUGAGAAUUUCUUUUCCCCCACUUAAGAAACACUUAUUUUGCCAACUUGAUAGCUUGCUUAGCACUCUCAGUUUUAUGUCGUUGAAAAAACUAGUCUUUUUCCUCCCUAUCAUCGAUGGAAGUCCCAGAUACUUUUCAUGUUUUGAAACGAUAUUCAAAUCGAAAAUACUUUUGAUUUCCUCCCUUUGACCUGAACUUGUGCUGCUGCUAAAGAACAUAGAGGACUUCUCAAAAUUAAACACCUGUCCUGAGGCUGCUGCAUAGUUGUCAAAGAUCUUUCUUAAAUUUCUACAAUCGUUAAUUGAUGCCUUUGUAAAGACCAGACUAUCGUCGGCAAAGAGAAGGUGUGUGACUGAUAGAUCUCUGCUGAAUUUCAGACCAUUUAUGAGCUUUUGAUUUUCUACAUUCACUAUUAAGUUUGAAAACACCUUUGCACACAUAAUAAAAAGAUAAGGGGAGAGUGGGCAGCCUUGUCUCAAUCCUCUUUGAGGAUGGAUUAGGUCUUUUGCCACUCCAUUGAUUAACACUGAAAAACUUGUUGUAGUGAUACAAUUCAUGAUCAACUUCACCCAUUUUUCUAAAAAUCCAAGUUUUUGCAUUGUGCAUUUUACAAAUUCCCACUCAACCCUAUCAUAGGCUUUACUAAUAUCAAGUUUAAGAGCUACCAGCCCAUUUCUUUUACUCUUGCUUUGUCUAAUCUUAUUAAGACACUCGUAUCCUAUAAUAAGAUUAUUAGUAAUGAGCCUAUUGGGUACAAAAGCGCUUUGGGUCGGGGAGAUGAUAACAUGCAGAAUCUUCUUAAGCCUAUUAGCUAGCGUUUUAGCAAUAAUUCUAUAUAUAACAUUACACAAGCUAAUAGGUCUGAAAUCAGUCACUUUUCUAGGCUUUUGCACUUUGGGGAUCAAAGCUAAGUAUGUAUGAUUCAGGGGUGCAAUGUUACUGAUGGGUGUCGAAGCCAACAAAAAUAAAUUCCUACUCUAAAUAAAUUGUGUAUAGUAAUUGAGCAGGGUCGUGUCCACAGAGAUCGGUAGUUAUUUAAAUCCUUUUAAAACGUAAAACAUAAAAUGGGGGUUUUGUUGACAAUAAUAAAAAUCAAAUUAAAAUAACAAGAAUGCAAAUUAAAGUUGUAAUUCAAAUUGGAGAAAGCUCUGGUUGAAGGAAUUAACUCAGCUUGAUUCGACUACUGAUCAUUGAUUCAAAUAUAGAUUAUUAUUUCUCAUGAAUAGACCAGUUAUAGCUACCGAGACCCUCUAAUAGCCAAUCUCUCCUUAACUAGUCGAUAACCAAGGUACGACCGUUAGUUAUUUCCCUAAUCAAUAGACAACCCUAGAUACGAUCAUAGAAUUUAAUCAAUUGACAACCUGAAAAACCAGAGAGACCCAAAUCCUAAUCAACACAUAUGAUGAUUCAUUUAAAUUAGAUUGUUUAUUCUCACAACACAACUCUCUGUUAUGUUAUUUGUCACAAACAUUAAAUUCUUCAUACGAUGAAUCCUUUAAUUGACAAUAGAUUAAGUUGAUAAUUAAAUAGUGGCCAAUUACCUAAUUAACAAACAUAAUCAUGAAAAUAAUUCAGAGAAUAAACAAAUACCCAAAAAGCAAUAAAACAAUUAAAGCACAAGAAAGAUCUCACAGUAGUGAUGAAUCAAAGCUUCAUUAUCCUUCAACCAGAAAAAUAGGUUUAGUUCUUCAUAGAGAGAAGAGAAAAAUUAGAUCUAGGGUUUUCUUUCUUUUUCUUCAAUCUAAAAAUCCUUUUUUUCAUAAUAGAUUCCUCCCUUAAAUACUCUCUCUCUCUUCUCUUUUAGAAUUCUAUUUAAAAUAAAAUACUAAUAUUUGAAAUAUUAAAUUCUUAAUUACAAAAAUAACCAAAAAUACAAAACACGUUAAACUAAAAACUGCAGGUCCGCAGUUGACAGCACGCGCCCACGCCUUAUCAACAAAGUUCUUCUGACGCUCAUAAUUUCUCUAAGAGAACAAUCAUCCUUAAACAUCAUCUUAUAGCUCAAUUUUAUCACCAAUCAAUAGAAUUGCACCUACAAAAGUAAAACACAAAUAAAUCACUAUUAUUAAGUGCAAAACAUCGAUAUUAAGGGAAGUAAACAAUGCAAAACUAGUGCAUAAAUUGCACUCUAACAAAUUCCCCCACACCAAGAUGAUGCUUGUCCUCAAGCAUAUAACUCAAGACUAAUCCCAAAUCUCCACUCAAUUCUCAUCUCAACUCAUCCAAAAACAAUUUUAAGCAAGCAUACCUCAAGAAAUUAAGUCGUUCAACAUUCGAGAGACAAGGAUUUUAAAGCACAGAAUCUCAUAAGCUAGAAUAAAAACAUUCAAUCACCAAGAAGAUCCAUUCAAAAUUCAAGUGUAACAAGAUUUAAUAACCCUCUCAUUAACUUCACUCCAUGCACUCAAAGUGUUUAGGGUGUCAUUUAUCCACUCAAAUCAAAUCAAAGAAUGCUAUUACCAUAAGCUUGCUCAUAUAUCACAUCUCAAUCCACAAAACAUGAAUAAAAUGCAAAAAUCUAAGGGUCUUAAAAGGGUUGUAAUGGGGUUAAAUUGGUUAAAUGAAAAAGAAAGGUUUACGAAAGAAAAAGAGAUCAAAACGAGAAGAAUAAACUCAUUGAAUGAACUUAUGAUAUCAAAAUGCUUAUUUCUACUCAAGUCACCAAGAAUGUAAACACAUUUUUUUUUGUUUUUUUUUUGUGAUUUUUCUUUUUCUUCUUUUCUUUUUUUCUUCUUUUUUUUUCUUUUUUUUUCUUUUUUUUUUGUUCUUUUUUGUUUGUUUUUGAAUCAAACAAAAGAAACGAACCUUGCACAAUUUAAUUCAAGCAUAAUGCUUGUUGAUCUAAUUGAGAAACUUUAAUACAAGGUAGAAAAAGCAACAAAAUAUAUCCACACAAUGAGUCCAAAAAUCUCCUUAAAUUGAGGCUCAAAAAGAAGAAAAAUGGUUAAGUAGACGGAGAGAAUUAGAUGGGUAAUGGUUAAGGCUCAAACAAAGAUAGCAAAUAAAGGUGUUCGGGUAGAGAAAAAGGAAAAUGCGAGAAUAGAAAAAUGGUAAAUGGUUUGCCCUUAUCAUUUUAAUGUAUAAAAUCCCGUAAUGUGGCUUCAACAUGCAUAAUAAAGCAAGUUCUAGAAUAAACAAACUAGGAUUGAUAUUCACAUAACAAAAAUAAUUAGAGCAAAGUGGUUGCUCAUAGGCUCAAAUCCUCACAAAGUUGGUAAAUUUGCCAUAAAAUCAUGUACACUCUUCAAAUGAAUCAACCAUCAAUAGUGGUGUAGAAUGAGAAGAAGGCAUGAAUGAGAUAUAAAAGGAAAGGUAAGAAUGAUAAUAAGCGAGAAAGAUGUAUGUAGUAAAAAAUGAAAGAUAAAAUGUGAGUGAUGAAGGAGUAUGAAAAAAAAAUAGAUAUAAAUAAUUUGAGAUAGAUGGGAAAAGAGUAGUGAGAGAGAAAGGAAAAGAAAAUUAAUAAUAUAUGAAGCAUACUAACUCCAAAAUCAUUUAAGGAUGAGUAGAGUGAAAAAAAAAAAUAAGUAGAGUGAAAACAAUAAUUAUAGACAUCAAUAAUGCAAAAAUCCCUCCCCCACACUAAGAACUUACAUUGUCCCCAAUGUAAGAUAAUCAAAACUCAUAUAAAAAUUAAAGCGUAAGGAUAAAAGAUUAAAGGCAAAAACUUUCCUGAAUUGUGAGCUUUGAUCCUCAUAACGUCUAUGGGCUUGGCGGGAAUGGUGGGAUAAAUCCUACACUCUUGAAGUAUGCGGCCAAAUUCUGCUCCAUCUUGUCACGGAUUUCGAUUCACGCGGCUGGAAUGUAGGUCGUAGGCUGGUUGCGGACUAUUGCUGCUCGACUGGAGCUUGUGGGUACACGGCUGCUGGUUCAGUUGCGCGCGGAUGGGACUGAUGCUGUGAACUGGUGACGCUGGAUCUGCGUGCUGCGACUGUUGCUGCGCGCUGGGGGAUUGCUGGUGCACGCGCUGGUGACGCUUGUUGCGUUGCGUGCUCGGCUGGAGCUUGCUGCGUGGCUGUGUUGCUGCGGGACUGUUGCACGCGAGAGCUGGUUCUGAGUUGCGUUGCGGGGCGUGCUCGUUGCUGGUGCUUGCGCUGCCCGCGACUGAUGCUGCAUUCUCCGGCUGGCUGGUUUCCUGCUGGCGUGCUGCAAACGGCUAGAGAAGAAAACAAUUUCUGGAAAAUUAGGGAUUUUGUGAACAGUAAAAAUUUUUUUUUCAACAAUGAUUUUUUUUUGAUUUUUUUAAAUAAAUAAAAAAUAAAUAUAUAAAAGAAAGAAAUAAAUAAAAUUAAUUAAAAUUAAUUAAUUUUUUUUUUUUAGUGAUGAAUCACUUUGAGACAUUAAAAAUUUCAGAAGUACUUUUCUAAUAAGCACGUGGGCACGCCUUAAAACUAUUUUACUUUAAAAAUUACAGAAGUACUUAUUAGUUAAGACGUGGGCACGCCUUAUCAAAAAUUUUCUUCUGACCAAAAUAAGCAAACACAUUAUUUAAAAAAAAUCUGAAUCAAAAUUAAAAGAAGAUAUAACAAAAACCAAAAUAAAUAAAUCACUUGGGUUGCCUCCCAAAAAGCGCCUUUGUUUUAUGUCUUUGGCUAGACACAUUUAUGCAUCAAUCUCCAUAAUUUGGACUCUCGAGAGCCACAUCCUCCACAAUAUUCACCGAAAAACCUUCAUAAAAAGGUUUUAAGCGAUGACCAUUAACCUUAAGAACUCUGUCAGAGGUCGGACUCCGAAUCUUAACUGCACCAUGAGGAAAAACAUUAGUAACAAUAAAAGGUCCAACCCAGCAAGAACGUAAUUUACCCGGAAAAAGUUUAAGCUUAGAAUGAAAAAGAAGAACUUUUUGACCAACAGAGAACUCCUUUCUCAAAAUCAUUCUAUCAUGAAAUGUCUUCGUCUUUUCCCUGUAAAAAAUUUCCUGCGCUAUAGGGUUAAUAACAUCCACAGAAAAUACCGAAUCUUCCUCACUAGGAUAUUUCAUGGCAUCAUUCAUAUUGAAUUCUAUAACCUCUCCAUCAAACUCCAUAGUGAGAGUCCCUUUAUGUAUAUCCAUUUUAGUCCUAGCAGUCUUAAGAAAAGGUCUUCCUAGCAAAAUUGGGACAGAAUUAGAGGAGUUAUCAUCUUCCAUAUCAAGUACAUAAAAAUCAGCAGGAAAAACCAACUCAUUAACUUGUACUAAGACAUCUUCUAAUACCCCAUCAGGAUAUGCAUUAGACCUAUCAGCUAGUUGAAUUAUCACACCAGUUUCUUUUAAUGGACCAAUAUUCAAAGAUGAAUAAAUGGAACGAGGCAUGACAUUAAUAGAAGCUCCUAGAUCUAACAAAGCCUUUUCAACUCUAACACUACCAAUUUUACAAGGGAUAGUAAACAUACCUGGAUCCUUGCACUUAGGAGGUAGUUUCUUUUGGAGAACUGCUGAAACAUUCUCCCCCAUGUGAACUUUUUCAUCUCCUUUUAAUUUUCUCUUGGAGGUGCACAGUUCCUUAAGGACUUUAGCAUAUCGAGGUAUUUUUUUUAUAGCAUCUAAUAAAGGAAUAUUUACCUCAACCUUGCGAAAUGUCUCAAGGAUGUCUUUCUCUUGUUCCUCCUUCUUGGAUUUUGCAAAUCGGCUUGGAAAAGGAGGAGGUAUCACAAUAGGUAGGGGUUUCGCUUUGGUGGGUUGUGCAUCUUGAGAUUGAGGCAUCAAUUCAUUCUUCUCAAGCUCAUCUUCUACAUGCUUUGUCACUUUCUUACUAGGCUCUUGCAACUCCGUCCCACUUCUAAGGAUGACAACACUAACGUUUUGCUUUGGAUUCACCUCAGAUUGUGAAGGCAAUCUCCCUAAUACUUGAGACUCCAGACGGCUCACUGUAGUCGCCAAUUGACUCAUUUGGUUCUCCAAGUUCUGAAUGCUUGCUGUAGUUGCCUGCUGAAAUUGUUGAGUGUUAAUCGCAAGUGAUUUAACAAUUUCUUCAAGAGAUAUACCUGACUUGGAGUUUGGCUGUGGAGGUGCUGGUUGUCUUUGUGGAUACUGUUGUGGGAAUCCUGACGGCCUAACUCCAUAGCUGAAGUUGGGAUGAUCCUUCCAUCCCGGAUUGUAUGUUUGUGCAUAAGGAUCAUACCUCCUCUGAGGCAUGCCUGGAAAUCCUCCAACUGUAUUGGCUUGUUCAAUGGGUUCUUCUUGAAGUGUAGGACACAUAUCAGUUGAAUGACCCAUAUUGUAACAUAUACCACAAGUCUUCACCUGCUGCACAUUACCUACAACAAACUUUUCCACAAGAGAAGUAAGUUUAUCUAAACGUUGUUCAACAGAAGAAAUAUUUACCUCAUUCACCUUCCUUGAAGUGAGCUCUUGCCUGCUGCUAAAUUGUUGUUCAUUGGCAGCCAUAUUUGAUAUCAACUCCCUUGCUUGAGUAGGGGUCUUGUUCACCAACACGCCUCCACUAGAAGCAUCUAUCAUACUCCUAUCCAUCAAUGACAGUCAUUCGUAAAAAUAUUGAAUAAGAAGUUGAUCAGAAAUUUGAUGCUGAGGACAGCUGGCACACAAUUGUUUGAAUCGCUCCCAAUACUCAUAUAAAGUCUCCCCAGGAAGUUGUCUGAUCCCACAAAUAUCUUUUCUGAUGUUGGCAGCUCUUGAAGCAGGAAAGUACUUCUCAAGGAACUGCUUCUUCAAACCAUUCCACGUUGUAAUCGAUCCAGGAGGCAAGUAAUACAACCAGUCUUUAGCUAGCCCAUCUACAGAGAACGGAAAAGCACGCAACUUAAUCUGCUCUUCAGUCACACCUUGUGGUCUCAUACUUGAACACACAACAUGAAACUCCUUAAGAUGUUUAUGAGGAUCUUCACCUGCAAAACCAUGAAACUUGGGUAAUAAAUGAAUAAGACCAGACUUUAAUUCAAAAUUUACCUCCAAGUCUACAUAUUGAAUGCAGAGUGGUUGUUGAUUCAAGUCUGGUUCAGCUAACUCUCUAAGAGUUCUUUCUACAGGUGCAGGUCUAUCCAUCACUUGUUCUUCUGAAUCGCUAGAUGAUUCAACUAAAUUAGGCACCGUAUCUGUUUCAGAAAGCAAAGGUGACGAGGAUCGUUGCUUAGCUCGCUUCGUCUGCUGUCUCAGCUGGCGAGCUGUCUUCUCAAUUUCAGGAUCAAACGAAAGUGUACCUGUACGAGAAGAACGAACCAUACACCAAGUAAAACGUAAAAAGGAUUAAAUAAAUGACACCAAUCCCCGGCAACGGCGCCAAAAUUUGAUGGGUGUCGAAGCCAACAAAAAUAAAUUCCUACUCUAAAUAAAUUGUGUAUAGUAAUUGAGCAGGGUCGUGUCCACAGAGAUCGGUAGUUAUUUAAAUCAUUUUAAAACGUAAAACAUAAAAUGGGGGUUUUGUUGACAAUAAUAAAAAUCAAAUUAAAAUAACAAGAAUGCAAAUUAAAGUUGUAAUUCAAAUUGGAGAAAGCUCUGGUUGAAGGAAUUAACUCAGCUUGAUUCGACUACUGAUCAUUGAUUCAAAUAUAGAUUAUUAUUACUCAUGAAUAGACCGGUUAUAGCUACCGAGACCCUCUAAUAGCCAAUCUCUCCUUAACUAGUCGAUAACCAAGGUACGACCGUUAGUUAUUUCCCUAAUCAAUAGACAACCCUAGAUACGAUCAUAGAAUUUAAUCAAUUGACAACCUGAAAAACCAGAGAGACCCAAAUCCUAAUCAACACAUAUGAUGAUUCAUUUAAAUUAGAUUGUUUAUUCUCACAACACAACUCUCUGUUAUGUUAUUUGUCACAAACAUUAAAUUCUUCAUACGAUGAAUCAUUUAAUUGACAAUAGAUUAAGUUGAUAAUUAAAUAGUGGCCAAUUACCUAAUUAACAAACAUAAUCAUGAAAAUAAUUCAGAGAAUAAACAAAUACCCAAAAAGCAAUAAAACAAUUAAAGCACAAGAAAGAUCUCACAAUAGUGAUGAAUCAAAGCUUCAUUAUCCUUCAACCAGAAAAAUAAGUUUAGUUCUUCAUAGAGAGAAGAGAAAAAUUAGAUCUAGGGUUUUCUUUCUUUUUCUUCAAUCCAAAAAUCCUUUUUUUCAUAAUAGAUUCCUCCCUUAAAUACUCUCUCUCUCUUCUCUUUUAGAAUUCUAUUUAAAAUAAAAUACUAAUAUCUGAAAUAUUAAAUUCGUAAUUACAAAAAUAACCAAAAAUACAAAACACGUUAAACUAAAAACUGCAGGUCCGCAGUUGACAGCACGCGCCCACGCCUUAUCAACAAAGUUCUUCUGACGCUCAUAAUUUCUCUAAGAGAACAAUCAUCCUUAAACAUCAUCUUAUAGCUCAAUUUUAUCACCAAUCAAUAGAAUUGCACCUACAAAAGUAAAACACAAAUAAAUCACUAUUAUUAAGUGCAAAACAUCGAUAUUAAGGGAAGUAAACAAUGCAAAACUAGUGCAUAAAUUGCACUCUAACAGUUACCUCCCUCAUUUAAAACAUGUAGGCAUGUGGUGAUAACAUCUUGCUGCACAAAACCCCAAUGUUUCUGGAAGAAAGCUGCUAGAAGCCCGUCUGGUCCUGGUGCUUUUGUGGGGCACAUUUGAGCUAAGGCAUCAGCUACAUCUUCUUUUAUAAACGGCUGGUCCAUGAAACUCCUCAUCUCCCUUGUAACCUUGGUUGGCAGGUUUGAUAAAGCUAUGCUUAUCUGGCCUGAUGAUGGGUUUGUUGUAGUGAAGAUAUUAGUGAAAUAUUCACAUACCAUCCGCUCUACAUCAUCAACUUCUUCAAGCCAUUUGCCAUUCUCAUCUUCCAGCCCACUUAUCCGGUUCUUUUUCCUUCUCGCAGAGGCUUUCGAAUGAAAAAAUUUUGUGUUCUUAUCCCCCUCCCUCAACCAAUCCGCCCUCGAUCUUUGCCUCCAAUAAACUUCCUUGUCAAUAAGGAUAUUAUCAAUUUGAUUUUCUACUUUUGUAAUCUCCUCUCCAUUAACAGCAUGAUUGUACCCGAUUUUAAUGUCCUUCAGCUUGUUUUGCAACUGCUCCAGCUUCUUUUCUCUCCCACUAAAUUCUUCAUUGCUCCAAUUCUUUAAUUCAACCAAUGACAUCUUUGAUUUUUUCUUGAAGAUUUCAAUUGGAUUGCUACCAUUCUCAUAACUCACCUCCCUUCAUUCUUGCCUCACUAUCUCUCUGCACUUCUCGUACGAGCUCCACAUAUCUUCGUAAUGGACUCUUGGGAAAGUUCUUUUCAUAAAACGUUUUCCUUUCCUCUUUUCUACCACCUCCAUCAAGAUUGGACUAUGAUCUGAGCUCCAAGAAAUUAAAUUCCGCCCAGCCUUUUCAAGAUUGGACUAUGAUCUGAGUUCCAAGAAAUUAAAUUCCGCCCAGCCUUUUCUUGGAAGCUGUUUCCCCAAUUGCUGUUGCACAAAAAUCUGUCGAGCUUUUCUUCUAUAAUGUGAGGGCCAAACCGUCUAUUGGACCAAGUAAACAGGUACCCAAUACUUCCUAAAUCCUUUAAAUCACAAUCCCUAAUAGCUUCUUUAAACUCAUUCACCAUAUUAACCCUCUUAUCUCUUCCUCAUAAUUUCUCAUUUAAGUUCAACACCUCAUUGAAAUCUCCGAAACAAAGCCACGGCAGCAAAGAUAAAGUAGCUAACCUUCUUAAUAGCUCCCAAGUAUGUCUCUUCUAAUCUGAUUCUAGAAGGCCAUACACUCCCGUACACCUCCAAUAAUUGCCAUUUUCGUUACAAACCAUUACAUCCACAUGAUGUUUACUAAAAGACUUUAUCUCUACUGUUGUCCCUGGAUUCUACAACAUUGCCAACCCACCUCCCAAUCCUUCACGGCUAACUGAAAAACAAUUCUGAAAUUUCAUCUUACUUGCUUUCUCUUGCAUUUACUUCGACGUCAUCUUUGUUUCGCAAAGAAAUAAAAGUUGAGGCCUAUGCUCCUGCAAGAUUUGCUGGGCUUCUCGGAACGUUCGGUCUUGCCCCAGCCCCCGAACGUUCCAGCUUAUUAGCUUUAUGGCUGUCGGCGGGGCUGUCUUCCAGCCUCCGCCGAUAUCUUAGGAGCAGCAUUCUGAACCCCCUUUGAAGCAUCCCCGACUUCAUUUUUGAAAACUAGCUGAGUAACUGUUGUAGUAACUUCCUGAUGCUGUGAUGAAUGUUCAACGCCCUGCCAGCUAUUUAUUUUGCAUUUUUUUGUUUCCGGGUUCCCCACUCCAUAACACUGCUGGGCCUUUUUAAGUUUAUGAUUGCUUCAUUUAUCCUUGCUUUAUCUUCCAUUUUUCGGACUUAUAACUUCCAUUUCUUUUUCCUGGGCUUCAUUUUGUCCAAGCAAUUCCCAUUGUCCACUUUCUCAGCUUCAGUUUCCACAUGGGCCGAGCCCACCAUUACCUUUUGUUUGCCUCCCCAUUUUUUCCCAUCCCCCAAGUCAUCAACUUCUUCCCUCUCAAAAGUUCCCGCGUUUGCCAUUCCAGGAAACUUUGCUUUUUCUGAUUUAAGGCUUGCCUCUCUCUGCUCUUUCCCCUUUCCCCUCAUUUCUACUUGCCCAUUCGUAUCCCGAGGUACUGUAUCCCCAGCAUCUAGGCUGAAUUGCAUGCCUCAUUAAUGCUCAAUGUCUCUAAACUUUUCAAAAAAGAAGUGUCAUAUUUAAUUUGUAGACUUCAUUCAUACAUUUGAUGACAACACUAUUUCCUCUCUCUAGGUGAAGAAAGCAUCAGAACGACUCAAUAAGUGGCUCUUGAAGCCUUCUGAAGAAGAAUCCAACGGCAAUUAAACUCAACAAGUUAAGGUCCAAUAUUGCUUGAUGAUCCUAAUAAUCUCAAUCAUGCAUGUAUUUUCUCUGCCAAUAAACCGAUUACCGUUAACACCAAUAACAACUUCAGAUAAAAAUUUCUUUCUUUUUGUCUGUUGGCAAGAAGAGCCUGAUAAUGAGUCUGUGCAAAUGCAAUCUAAUAUUCUGAGGUUAAUUAAUUCAAGAAGUUGCAUCUUCAUAAGAAGUACAUUUAAUGUUGUGUUUAUUUGCUGGAGUGGGAGGAGAAGUGUGGAUUCCUUCCACUCCACUAUUUACUUGUUUAUUUAAGAAGGGGAGUAGGAGUUCCACUCCGUGGAUUCUACUCAUUUUUUGAGUGUGCAGUGAGAUUCCUACUCCCACUUCUUUUUUUUAGCAUUUCUUUAUUAAAUAUAAUAUAAUUAUAUUUAUUAAAAUAAAGUAAUGUCACAGUUACUUAAAAAUAUUAAUAUUAAAUUUAUUUGAAUAUAAUAUUAUUAUAUUUAGUGAAAAAUAAUAAUUUAUUUAAUCUAAGUUAAAUUAUUUUUAAAUAUUAUUAUUAUAUUCGUGGAGAACUAAUAAUAUUACUUUUCAUUUAUUUAAUUUUAAUAGUAUUAUAUUUAUUUAAUGUUAAUAAUUAAUAGUAAUAAAUAGUUAUUCUAAGAAAAUAUUAAUUUUGUACUAUAUUAUUAAUAAUAAUGUUUCAUGUAUUGCUCUUAUCAGGAAUUUGUAACUUACAUAAUUAAAAUUAAAAUUAAUAAAAAAAUUGUGAUUUAAAUAAUUAAGAAUAUUAUAAUAAUUAUCAAUUUACAUAAAUAAAAUUAAUAAUAAAAUAAACAGUUUAUUUUACAAGUAUUUUUUUAUUCACUUUGUAAUUACAAACCAACUCUUUAAAUAUGAGUAAAACUGUAAUUUGAAACAAUUUACUCACAACCCAAGACAAAAUAAAUACAUAAUGAGAUUCUAAUUCAUAUUCCACACUCUCAUUUUAGUAUAAGUAAACAACAAUAUUGCUCCCUGGGUUUAUCGUCUCAAGUUCAAUCUUCAAAUUUCUUGGCCAAGGCAAAGACAUAGCAAAUAGUAAGGGCAGGACAUUUCUUGCCCAUGGUUCAUUGCCGUUAUUUGUUUUUGGCACUUUCACUUGACCAUAAAAAGGCACCUACGCUCACAGCUUAAAAACUCAAAUUAUUUGUAUGUCACUGGUGGUUGAUGCCCUAAUACUUGGAGAGGAUUCAAUUUAAAUCCUUUUGCUGAGUUAUUUCCUCUAAUUAAACUCUCGACAUCUUCGAGCGUAUGAUAUGGUACAUAAGUGCAACCGAGCAUUCUUAAUAAACACUAAUUACUCAUUAAAUUUAUGGAAAAAUGCCAGAGUUGAGAUAUUUGCCAUCUCCAUAUGAUAAGUCUAUGUUGGUUCUAUUUUCUUUUUUUCUUUUUUACCCUAAAAUUGGAUUUUCAAUGCGCUGCAAGCUACAUUACAGAAUGAUGUACUACAUAACUGUCUAAUGUUUUUCGCUUCGCUUUUAUUAUUUCGGUCCCUAUAAUUUUUUCUUUCUUUCUUUCGAAUUACCCAUUAUGUCUCUUAAAGUUAAAUUUUGAUAUUUAAAUUUACUGUAAAAAAAUAAAUUAUAAUUUUAACAGGUAAAAUCUGUCACAUCUUUUGACAAACACAUUAGAUUAGACUAUCAAAAGUAUAUAUGAUAAUAAUAAAAAUAAGAAAAAUGUGUUUUUUUUUUCUAUGGUUAUUUACUUGUUUUAAGACUAUGGAUAUAAUGGGUUAUUGAAAAAUACUUACAUACAUAAGUAUAAUUUAGUGGUCAUUAGCGUUUACCAUAUAGUAAGCACCUGAAAAUGUAGCAGGACUUUGGGACAUCCUGUAAAAAGUAUUUAAAUUAUGAAUUAAUCAGACAAUGUCACCUAACACUGUCGCUCAUCAUUAGGUAAUUACUGCCUCCCAUUAUAUCAUUACUUCUCCAUAUAUAUUAAGAGUGUCAUAGGCAUAUACUAAUGAAAUCAAAUGUACUAUUUUGUAGCCUUAACAUCAUAGCUUGGGAGUUCAUGUUAGAUAUGCUUUGGCCUCGUAGCCUCAAUUGGGUAUGAAAGAUUUUGAAACAUUGAGUUUCUAAUGGCGUAUAUGCUUGGCAAACUCAAAUACUGAUGCUUUAUUGCAUACGCGCGAGCGCACACACACAAAACGUAUGUAUUUAUGUCCAGAGUUCGGGUUUGAAAUGAAUUGGGGAGAGGAAAUGCUAAAGCUGCAAAAUUUCCAUCAAAGUUGCCUUAAUUGCUUCCAUGUGUAGCAGAGUUUUCUAUUCGAUAAUUAAUAGGGUCCGCUUGUAAUACAGCGUUUGUAUCUCAUACAGCUGAAUUCAAUAUUUUAUUAAAAAAAAUGACAACCGUUAGAUAGAAGUAAAUACAUCCAAUGGUUAAUAUGUGUGAUAACUCAUUUUGGCGACCGAAUGUGGCAGUUAUUAUUUCAUCAAUUAACUUAACUAAAAAAUCACAGCCGUUGGAUUGUCUCUCUCUCCAUCAUAAUAAAAGCCUUUGCAUUCUCCCUCCUAUUGUUUUCUCCCACAUCCAGAAUUUUGGAUGAUAAGAACUUGUUAUUCAAGAGUAUUCACCACCCAUCACAGCAAAGAGCAAAGAUGUAGCCGAAGGAGUGCCGUUUAUUCAAGCUUACUCGAUCUGUCACUCUCACUUCAAUUCGUCGCUCAACUUCUCGAGGGCAUCUUCAGUUCGUCACUCACAGCUUCAAAUUUUCACUCUCGUCAAUCACCUCUCUUGCUGUACCUCUCUCUUAUGUCUCCCAACAAUUUCGGUGAGCUCUCUCUCUAAUUUAAUAUAUGAUAAAAAAUCUUAUCAUGUCAUUUAAAUAUGCUUGAAGUUUCAGUUUAGUUUAUUAUUAUUACUUGAAAUUUUGAGAUGAUUUCCAGGGAUUGAUAAUUGAAAGAUAAUUGGUAGGGCUUUUGUUUUUUUUGUUUUUUUAUCUUGAGAUUAUGUUUUUCACAAAAAGGAAAAAAAAAAUAGAGGUUGCACUAUCUAGCAUCAAGCAACUGCAAGUAAUGGGGUUUGUUUUGAUGAGCUACGAAUUGGGGCUUCUCAUUUUCUUGAAUUAUCUUCAAUAUAAGUGGAAAGGGAUUUCUUCUCUCCAAAAAAUUAUUGUAUAUUUCCUUUUAAAUUCUAGAUUGACAUGUAGCCGAUUUUUGAUGUUUGAAGGAUUUUAUUAAAGAAUGUGCUGCUGCCAGUGGCAUGAAUUAAUGUAGUCUCGCUAGUAUUCCUGAUUUGGGGUAAUGAUGUAAUUGAACAAUCAUAUUUCUAUUAUUCUUAUAUUUGAAUCCAGUGAUAUUGUGGUGGUUUUAUGAUAAUAUUCUAUCGUUUUGUGCCGCAAAUCAGCCAAUGAGUUGGGUAUGUGCUGGGUAUACGCUGUAUGGGGUUGUUGUUGAAUUUACUAGACCUUGGAUGUGAUUCUUGCCGUGUUUAUAAGAAAUAGACAAAUGUCUUUCUAUGGUAAUAGAAUUGUCUAAGUUGCGUUACGAUAAAUGUUAAGUAACUAUGCUUUGUAACCUUAAACCUUUAUUUGUAAGACUUGGUGUACUUGAUUGUGAAAGAAUGUUAAAUGUUGACUUAUUUUCAUUGGUGAAGAUAAGUGAAGUUAGGAAAGGUUUGUAAUCACUAUAACCGUAACAAUUUCUUGGGUAGACUUGUAAUAAUUUUAUUCAUGGCAUGUAAUUUGUUUUUAUCAGAGGGCAUGUUUGCUUGUAGUCUCAAAUCUAGGGUAAUAUUUAAAAUAAGUUCUGCAAUAUAUGCUUUGCUAUUUUUUAUUUUUUGUUUUUAUUUUAAUUGGUUUUAGUAUUACUUGGAGGGGAAUUCUGAUCUGCUGAAGUUUAUGAAGCUGAUGCAGCAAGCAGGCCUUUAUCUUAAUCUUACAAUUGGCCCUCACGAUUGUGGUAAGUGGAAUUUUGUGUAAGUUACAACAAUAUAAUUUUUUGAAAAGAGCCGACAAGACACUCUAUUUUCUUCUGUUUUUUUGGAAUGUUGAGCAAAACUUUUCUUUAUUCUCAGGGGCCCUGUUUUGCUGAAGUAUAUUCCAGGUAUCAAUCCCUCUGAUAUACCAUCCCUUUAUUAGGUGUUUAUAAUAAUUCAUGGGUUUUGUCAUAUUGGUUUCAAUGCAUUGGUUUUGAUAUUGGUUACAGCCCAUCAGCCCCUACUCCUCUUUCCCAGCAGCCUUCAAUGCUUUUUUUUUAUAAUUUUUUUUAAGCAUUGUACUUUGAUUCACUGUGAAAUUUGUUUGUAUGAUGCUAAGUUGAGGACACGAUAAUAGUCAUGAUUUUAUUGUAUGCAGCAAAGAUAAAUGUCCAUAAAAUUUUAUUUUGUUGAAAUAAUAAGAUUUUGCUAAUUUUGUAGUAAGAAAUGAGGGCUAUUGAUCCCUUCCGUUUAUUAUAUUCAAUUUUUUUUUCACUCUUUCAUUCAUUUAUUGUGAAGUGUGUUUAGGUAUUAGUCAUGGGCAAAGGUAAAGAUCUUUACUUUGGUAUUUUUGUCUUCUUGUGCUUCAUUGGUAUAAAUGAGGAAAAAAAGCCAAAAAUAAAAUAAAACUAUAAUAUUUGCAUGAAUUCCAUCAUCUAUGGUAUGUUGAAUAGAUUAAAAAGCAAGGAGUACAGUGAUGGAAUAGCAGGCGGGGGAACUAUUUUUUUUAAAAAAAAUAUAAUACAUAUUGAUGGAAUAAUUAUCCUUCCCUUAAUUAUCUAAAUUUUUUCUUUUGGAAGAAUACAAAUGGACAGUCAGCAACGAAAGCGUAAACGACAACCAGGGGGCUUACAGAAAAAAGGUGCUCCUAUUCUAAGAGCAAAUGGUCAGGACGCAGUUCCAACGUCUUCAACUUAUGGAUUUGUCUUACUUGUAAGUAGUCAUUGUGACUUACCUAUCGGUAAAUAAACACGCCGAUACCAGAUAACACUAAUUAGAUGUUAUGGUUUUGCAGCAUUGAAGAAGUUAAGCGGUUGAGAAGUGAAAAUUCAGAUUUGUCCGUUACGCUUGGGGUUAGUAUAUUCAUUAAAUGUAGCAUGUACAUCUAUUAUUUUGUAGGUUUUUUAUGUUUUAAAACAUAUGCAUUACCUUUUUUACAGUUACGAAAACAUAUUGGGAAAACCUACAAAGAACUUCCUCCCGAACAAAAGGCAAGGUACAAAAAGAGAGAUGAAAGGAUGGGUAAUUCGGGUAAUUCAAACUCACAUUCUGGUGACAAUGAAAUAGUGGAAACUAAGUGUGUACCUGAGCGGUUUUGUGCGCUGGUUAAGAGUUUAUCAGAAGAGAAGAAAAAAGCAAUAAGAGAAAUAGGAUUUGAAAGCCUGCUUGAACUCAGAUGUGGCAAGCUGAAGAGGAAGUUACGCCAUUGGUUAGUUAAUCAGUUUAAACCUGAAAGGAAUAUAAUUGAACUUCAUGGUCAGAAAUUAGAACUUUGUCCCAAAAUGUUUUCGAAAAUCAUGGGCGUAAAAGAUGGAGGUAUGGCCAUUAAGAUUAAUGGUACAAGUGAUCAUAUUGCUGAAGUGCGACGUAUUUUCCAACCAACAGUUAAAGGGAUUCGCAUCCGCACGCUCGAGGAACUAAUAGAGCAAUUAGAUGAAGCCAACAAGAUUUUCAAGGUUUGUGGAUAACUCAAUUACAGCACUUGUAAUUGCUUACAAUUGAUUGUGUUUUAAAUUAUGAAUCUUUGUGCAUAACCCCCGUUUAAUCUAUAGUAUUUGUAAUUGUAGUUGUAUGAAACACUUGAACUUAUUUUUAAAAAUGUGCACACUUAAGCUAUUUAUGUAGCUUAUUAAUGCUUGCAACCGUUCACGAUGUUGAUAUUCUUACAUAAAGUUUUUUGCAGGUUGCAUUUACCUUAUUUGCUAUAGCGACAUUGUUAUGUCCAAUAGGCAGUUAUAUUUCAACUUUGUUUCUUCAUCCCAUCAUGUUGUUCAUGCAGAUCUUUUAUCUCCAUAAUGUUGCAUAUGACAACAUUCAGCCCAAUAGGAAUAUACUUCCCAUCACAUUCUGGAACGAAUCAAGGAUCAAGAAGUUCAUGAAGUGGCUUAGAUCCAAAGGAGGGAUUGGAAGCGAUAAGGUAAUCUCUUCUUGUAGGGUGCUUAGUUGAAUUGAAAACAGAAUUAGUUGCAUCAUGCAGUAUAGGCAUAAAUUCAUUAUCUAUGUCAAUUCAUUCAUAAUUUGACUCCAAAUGGAGUAAUAGAUCACCAUUAAUUUUUGGUAAUCGAUUCACUUUUUUAAAUUUUCAAAUCUGUCGUCAAGCUGGUCUACCACAACAGCCAAAUGGUUUUGAUUGCGGCUACUAUGUGAUGAAGUAUAUGGAUAGUCCUUGUAUUGUUGUCCAUGACUCUUAUCAGGUUUGUACAGUUGUAUCUUAUUGGUGUAUAAUAUCUUUUCUGUAUUAGAUUAACAAAUAAGGAUUUAUAUCAGCAGGAUGAGGAUCGACUUUUUAAAAAAGGUUUUUUUUUUUUAACUUUUUCAGCAUGACUCGGAUCACACUCGCCUUCUUCUAGCUCUUUAUUUGGUGCAAUCUCCGCUUAACAAGAUUAGGUGUCGACUUAUUCAAGAAGCGCGCAAGUUAUAGGUUGACUGUGCAGUCUUUUUUUUUUUUUGUUUGCCGAACCAUUUUGUAGCAUUGUAGCAACGUUAGGGUAAAAGGUUGGCAAAUUUUUUGUGAUGCCACCCCAUUUGUUGGUAUUUUGUAUAGCAACUACUGUUGUUGUAGAAUCCGCGAGUUCACUAACCUGGGUUAGCUGAUGGGUGGCCCUCUUAUUUUUUGGCUGAGGGUGCUUAUUUUACAAACAUGUGUGUUCCGGCAAGAUUACAAUUACUGCGCAGGCGUACAGCAACUGUGAUGGCCCUAUUAUUUUUUGUAUGUGUGAGGGUGUUUAUUGAGUAAGAAAUUGUACAUGUAAUGGUUAAUCAAUUGAUGUGUACGCUUCUGUACAAGUUUUCUGUUUUUCUUGAUUUCAGUUUUUUCUUUUUGCUUGAUUUCAGUUUUUUCUUUUUUAAGUGCAAGAUUAAAUGGUGGACGGUUUGGAAUUGUUGUUUGGCUGUUGGGAAAUGAGAAAGGACAAUGAAAAACUAAACUCGACACCAAUUGGUUAUGUGGAAUAAAAUGAGUAUUACGUGUUUGUCCAACUAAAGGCCCCUUCGGUUUCUGAUCUUGAAAACCUUGUUCAAGAAUUUGAAAACAAGAUGGGAGAACAAUAUGUUCUUGUUAAACAAAUAAGCCUUUGGAUAGAUAGAUUUAAAGCACAUGUCAAAUAGUUUACCAUUUUUUAAAUGCUCGUUUUCUACACACCAAAGACUACAAUGUAUGUUUUUCGAAACUUAAGAAUUCUUCUCAAUUUUACGUUAAAUUAGCAUAAUUUUUCAUAAAUAAAUAUAACUAAAAAUAUUUUUCGUUCUGUUCAUUUGACCAAAAAUGCCUCAUUUGAUGCCUGGAGGGGUUGGAGACAACAGUGAAAUGGCUUAAAAUUUUUAGUUUUUUACUGGUUUUUAUAUUAAAUAGUUUGAAUAGAAAAUAUUGUUUAACAAUUUAAGUGUUGGUUCUUUCCUUCUCUUAAAAUUGUUGGCCUAAAUGGUUUUGAUGAUAACAAUUACAUGAAAAAACGAUAAUUUAGUAUAUUUAUAAUCUCAUAUUUAUUUAAAGGUAAACUUUCUACCCUAACUAAAAUCAAGCUCAAGGCAUAAAUGAUCAAUGAGAGCUAUAAAAAGGGUACGGCGAGUUAUAAAGAGGGUACCAACUCGAAUAAUUCACUUUUCCAUAUUCCUAAUGCUAAUACACUUUACUGUGUCCACGACUUUGUAUCUUAAAAGCUCAAGGCUUCCUUUCAUAAUCUCUAUAACAAAUUAUCAAUUUUCAUUGUAAAAGUUGUAUAUUUUACAAGGCAAAUUAUUUAAUCAAAAGGAGUAUUUGAAAAUUUACGGACCACAUCAACAAGAUUUCAGUUUUUUAGCUCCUUACGUGUUAUUUUUAAACGCUCAAAAAGGACCUAUACGAAAAUAAUUGAAUAUACUCGUUCAAAGUAUAAUUACAGAAAUUAGUGCUCAUGGGCACAAAGUUUGCAGCUUACCUCUUCCUGUGAAGCGGCUAACCGCUUGAAUUCACUUGCAUGCCAGAAACAUAGCAGCAACCCGCCUUCCAUACGCAGCUAGCCGCAUGUACAUCACUUUUUGUAACCCAUUCCAGAAACAUAGCGGCUACCCGCCUUCAUUUCGCGGCUAGCCGCAUGUGCUACGCUUUUGAUAACCCAUUCCCAAACAUAGCGGCUACCCUCCUUCCACUGUCUUCCUCUUCAAUUUUUUAGCGGCCUCUCUCCCCUCUCACUCUCGCUGAAAAUUGUGCACUGCUUACACAUUUUGUCUCCAAAUUCACUCUCCGAAACCAUUUUCCAUCCAUUUUACCUCAAUUAUCAACUCCCAAACUCUCAUUGCAUAUACACGCACGACUGCCUUGUGGGAGAAAAUGGAACGAAAGCUUCGAAUUAAUCCAACGAAGAAUUCAAAUUACUUGGAAUCUCAAUACAAAUAUUGGUACAUGUAGGCAUUUAGUAGGAAUAUUGAAUGCAAAAUCAGUGGACCAAUAAGUUGAAACAAGCAAACCAAAAACUGAGACAACUGAACUGAACCAAGAAAAUAUUUUAGAUAUUUAACCUACAUCAUUCAAUUUUAAUCCAAUUACUAGGAACACGGAACGCAAAACAUUUGCAACUGCAAUUGAAAAUACAUCAACCGAAAAAUGGAGAAACCACAACCGAAAAUAGUGAUCCACUUAACCAAAAAAAAAUUCUAAAAAACCUAGUAUGUAACCUUAUUAACUGGAAAUUUGACGACCGAAUAUGAAUAAUUAACGUAAAACUAGAGAAAACGCUAGUUCAAACACAUUUACCAUUAAAAAACCUGAUAUGUAACCUUAUUAAUUGGUAAUUUGAAAAUGGAAUAGGAAUAAUUAACGUAAAACUAGAGAAAACGUUACUUGAAACGCAUUAACCAUUAAUAGAGAAAUUAGAACGAAAACUUGGAACAGAUCCAAGGAAAAAUUCAAAUUACUUGGAAUAUGACAUUAUAUAUUGGUACUCGACGAACUUAGUAGGAAUACCAAAUGCAAAAUUUCUGAAUUAAUAAGUUGAAACUAUGAACCAAAAAAUGAAACAUAUUAACCAAAAUCCGAGACAAUCAAACCAAGAUAUAGGUUAAUGAUAUUUAACGCACGUAGUUGAAAUUUUACUGAAUUAACUGAAAUCAAGAACGCAAAGCCCGUGUAACUAUAAUUGAAAUACAGCAACCAAAAAUGGAGAAAGACCAACCAAAAUUGGUUACCAACGUAACCAAAAUAAAUUCCUACAAACCUCUAACCUACUACUUAACCUUCAGAACUAGAAUUUAAACGUAUUAGUUGGAAUAUUUAACGUAAAACAUAGGAGAAAACUUUAGCUGAAACACACUAACCAUUAAAAGAGAAAGUAGAACGUGAACUUGGAACGAUCCAACGAAAAAUUCAAAAUGACUUGGAAUAUCACAACAGAUUUUGGUACCUGACGAACUUACUACGAAUAUUAAACACAAAAUAAUUGAACCAAUAAGUUGAAACAUGUUAACAAAAAUGUGAGAAUUAUUUACCCCAAACCGAGACAAAUCAAACCAAGAAAAAUGUUAAUAAUAUUUAACCCAUGCAAUUGAAAUUUCGGCAAAUUAACUGAAAUCCAGAAUGUAAAACCUAUGAAAUUUUAAUUGAAAUACGACAACCACAAUUGGAGAAAGAGAAACCAAAAUUGGUGAUCCACAUAACCAAAAUAAAUUUCUAAAAACCAAACCUGGUACCAAACCUUAAUAACUGGAAUCUCAACGAGUUAAUUGGAAUAUUUAACGUAAAAUUUGAGAUAAUAUUAGUUGAAAUAUAUGAACGAUUGAGGGAGAAAGUAGAACGCAAAGUUGGAACAUAUCCAACAAAAAAUUCAAAUGACUUGGAAUCUAACAACAAAUAUUGGUACUUGAUGAAUUUACCAGAAAUAGCGAACGCAAAAUUAGUGAACCGAUAAGUUGAAACAUGUUAACCAAAAAGUGAAAAUUAUGAACCAAAACCGACACAAAUCUCACCAAGAAAAUUGUUAAUGAUAUUUAACCAAAAUAUUUAUAAAUUUGCCGAAUUAACUGGAAUAAGGAACGCAAACCCUGUGAAACAAUAAUUGAAAUAUAGCAACCAAAAAUGGAGAAAGACUAACCAAAAUUGGUUACCAACGUAACCACAAUAAAUAUCUACAAACCAAACCUGGUACUUAACCUUGGGAACUGGAAUUUAAACGCGUUAAUUAGAAUAUUUAACGUAAAACAGGAGAAAACGUUAGCUGAAACCCACUAACCAUUAAAAGAGAAAGUUGAACGCGAACUUAGAACAAAAAAUUCAAAAUGACUUGAAAUAUCACAACAGAUGUUGGCACCCGACGAAGUUACUAGGAAUAUUAAACGCAAAAUAAGUGAAUCAAUAAGUUGCAACAUGUUAACAAAAAUGUGAGAAUUAUUUACCUCAAACCGAGACAAAUCAAACCAAGAAAAAUGUUAAUGAUAUUUAACCCAUGCAAUUGAAAUUUUGGCAAAUUAACUGAAAUCCAGAACGUAAAACCUGUGAAAUUUUAAUUGAAAUACGGCAACCACCAUUGGAGAAAGAGCAACCAAAAUUGGUGAUCCACAUAACCAAAAUAAAUUUCUAGAAACCAAACCUGGUACCAAACCUUAAUAACUGAAAUCUCAACUAUUUAAUUGGAAUAUUUAACGUAAAACUUGAGAUAAUUUAGUUGAAAUAUAUGAACUAUUAAGAGAGAAAGUAGAACGAAAACUUGGAACAGUUCCAACGAAAAAUUCAAAUGACUUAGAAUCUAACAACAAAAAUUGGUACUUGAUGAAUUUAGCGGAAAUAACGAACGCAAAAGUAAGGGACCAAUAAGUUGAAAAAUAUGAAGCUAUUAAUGGAGAAUCAUUACCAAAACUUGGAACUGAUCAAACAAAAAAAUUAAUAUCGUUAUCUAACCUAUAAAAUUGGAAGCUUCACAAAUUAGUUGAAAUGUUAGACGUACAACUAGUGAAAUAAUAGUUGAAAUAUUAAAACCAAAUGUGGAGAAAGUUUUACCCAUUUUUGAAAUUAAUCUAAUAAGAAAUGAUUUUAUUUCGAAUUUAACCCAAAAUAUGCGUAUUGUACGACUUUAGUGAGAAUACUCAACGUAAAACUAGUGGAUCAAAAAGUGGAGAUAAGCAAACCAAUUUGUGAGAAAGUGUAAUCAAAAUUAGGUACGUGUUAAAUUAACUUGGAAUGUCACCAAAUAUAUUGAUAUUUAACCAAAAAAAUCGAGACAUACUUAUUUUAAUUGUUUUAACUUUUAUUCAAGCAAAAUAUAAUUUUUUUUCCCCUUAAAUAUUGUUUGUGUUCAAUAUUUACUAAAUUUCCUUGACUUUUUCCAUUUUAUUUUAUUUUUUCCGCAUUAAAAACUUUGUUUUUUAAAUUAUUAAAUAAACAACCGGUAAAAUACCGGUUGUUCAAGUUUUCUCAUUACUGUUGAGGCGGCUGUAUCACAAACAGCACUGUAUUAUAGGAAGACUCUCGAUAAUAAUGUGCUUAACGUUCCAUCAGAAAAAUUGUUUAUUUAUUUACAACCGAUGAAGUAUCGGAAUCUGUUGCAAGAUCACUCUCUGUCCCCUUAGCUUUCUCAAUGUUACUUAGCGGUGUCCAGCCUGUACUCUCACGUAAGUUGAUAAUGUAUGAUAUAUAACAUAUUUUUCAUAAUGAUUAUUUCGACAAGAAUAGUGAAAGUAUUGUCGAUUUAUUACAAAUAAGUCACCUUAUUUUUUAUUAUUUACAAAUUAACACUUAAGAGUUGAUGAAGACACAUCUCCCAACAAUAAUAGCAAACGGAGCCUUAGGUGGCGUUUGUUUUUUAACUUAAUAACUUAAAGUGACUUAACUUAAUUAAUUAAGUUAAUUAGAUGUGUUUGUUUUUAUAACUUAAUGAGACUUAUUAAAUAAUUUUGACUUAAUAAAAUAAGCUAAUUUUUUUGGCUUUUUACUUAAUGGAGAAAUCUAAAUUAAGUCAAUUACUUACUAAUGUCAAAAAUAUCUCUACUUUAUAAUUUAUUUUUCAUGUCUAUCCCAAAACUCACCCAUAGACAUUUACCCCACAUAAAAAUAUCCAUGUUUUUUCUUUCUUAUAUUAUAUACGAUAAAAUUUGAAAUUUAUGGUAUUUUAUAUAUUAAAAUUCUAAAAUAAUUAUGUAUUCACUUGAAUAUAGUUUUACUUAUAAAUGUUAAAAUAUUGUGGUAUUUAAUAUAUUAUUUAUUUGACAUUUAAAUUUAAUAAGGAUACAAAUGUAAAAGUAUAUAUUUUCAGCUUUUUAAGUUGAAAAAAACAAAUAAUUUAAUACUUAUUUUUCGAGAUUCAGACGAAAAAACAAACAUAUUAUUCAGAUUCAAAUAUUCAGAUCUAUUCAGAAUUCAUAUUAAUUCAGGUCUAUUCAGAUUAAAAAAAUAAUAAUAAUAAACGUCACCUUAGUCUAUUGUAUCAUGCAUAUAUUGAAUUAAUUUGCCAAUGUAUUUAGUAGGGGCUGCUAUUGGUGCCGGUUGGCAAAGUAUAGUAGAAUAUAUUAACAUUUGCUGCUAUUAUGUGAUUGGUACCUGUAGGAGUUUUUCAUGUACGUGGCCAAUGUCAAAGUUAAGGUAUCAAUUCAUCUUUGUAUUUCUUACUUUUCAUCUUUUUCCCUCUUGAUAAAGAACUUCAUAGAUUUAAAUUUAGCAUCUUUUACGGUGGAUAUGUAAUUUGAUAUUUAUGGUUAAUAUAGCUCUUAUGUUUUUUUUAAUUAUUUUUUUAUGGGUAAAUGCUUUUUUAGUCGCGACUGUUUGAGCUAAUUAAAUUUUACUUAUUGCCUGUUAGGUUUGUUUGAAUUUUUAAGUUAUAUCAAAAUGAAAUAUUAUUUUAUCAGACCCUUUUGAGAUUACUUUAGAGAGACUUAAAAAUAAUUUUGAAAAGAUAGAAACUAAUUUUGGUGUUUGAUAAUUUUUUUUAAACUACUUUUGAAAAACUUACUUUACCCCAUAGCAGAGUUUGAAAAGUAGGGAAGAGUAACUUUUUAAAAUUUAAUUUUGAAAAUGAGUUUUAUAUUUAAUGUGAUUCCAUAUAUAUCCUCACAUAUAUAAAAAUCGAAAACUAUCUUUAUUCAAUUGCGAAAUAAAAUCAUUAAAUUUAAAGAGAUUAUUAUUAUUAUUAUUAUCAAUUAUAUUGAAUAACAAAAUAAAAAAAUAAUUAAUACAAAAAAAUAUUUAUUUUUGUUAUUAAUUAUUAUAUAUACAAAAUAAAUAUAUAUAUAUACAUGACAAUAAAUUUAUAAAAAAAAAUUAUUGAACAUAAUAUCUAUUUGAGUCAUUUGCAUGUAUUUUUAUAGCAGUUUAAUUGUAAGAUUCAUCGAACAUAUAUGAUUGGUUUAAAAACUCAUAACACCUUUAAAAAUAAAUUUUGCCAAGUAUUAAAAUGAUGAUCUAUACAACUGAUUAUUUUUACAGCACAACUAGCAUUAAUUAUUUUAAAAGGUACACUUAUUACUAAACUAGCCCUAAAUCCAACAAUUAUGAAAGUAAUGAUAGAGAAUUUUGGAUAAAUUUUAAAAAUACAGGAAUUAACUAGGUAAUUAACCCAAUCCAAAAAGACUAAACAAACUUUUACCCUAUUUUGAUCAUGUUGCCUUACUUUGGAGUACAUGGCACGGCUUGUUGUAGUUCAUUUUUCAAAAACUAGAUGAAUAUCUUCAUUCAAUUAAUUUGCACAUGGUAUAUGGAUUGGAAUGCUGCUUGGAGUAGUAAACCAAUCAUCGUGCUUGGCUAUGUUCCAAGAAAACCGACUGGGACAAUGAGGUAAAUAUUUAAAUUAAAUGAAGUUUCAUUCUAUGAUACAUUAAUACUGUAAUUAAACAUGAAUUGUCCAAAUGAUACAUAAGAUAUAUAAAUUCAACAGAAAAAUUAUAAAUCAAAAUAAGUAUAAAAUAAAACAUAAAUUAUGUAAAUGUAAUAUAAGACUUAUAAAUGAAAGGUAAAACAAGUAAAUUAAUAUAAGAAUGGUAAAUUGGUGUUCUACUAGUAAACAAAAUAAAAACUUACAAAUGAAACAUAAAAUUUGUAAAUCAACGUUAAGUGUAAAAUAGAACAUAAAUUGUCUAAAUAAAACAUAAGAUUUCUAAAUAAAAGGUAAAACAAGUAAAUCAACAUGAAAAUGAUAAAUUAAUGUAUCAAUAGUAAACAAAAGAAACUUACAAAUAUAACAUAAAACUUAAAAAUUAAUAAUAAGUGUAAAAUAAAACAUAAGACUUAUAAAUGAAAAGUAAAAUAAGUAAACUGAUAUAGGAAUGGCAAAUUGGUGUAUUAUUGGUAAACAAAAUAAAAAAUUACAAGUCUAUUAGAUCUAAUUUUAUUGAUAUAUCGUAUAUGUCUAAUAAGAAUUCUUUUUAUUUUGUUUUGCCUUGAUCCACAUCAAGAAAAAUGAUUUUACAUAAUUAACCUAUAUAGUAAACAAAUACUUUAUAUGAUAGAAAAUUGAAAAAAAAGUUUAUAAAGUCACGAAUAUAGAAUUGAAUUCCAAUUGCUUUCGAUACAGUUUUUUUUUUCAAUUGAUAGGUGAUUUUUUUUUAUUUGCCUAAGUACACUAAAUGAAUAAAUUACUGUUUUUGGAGAUAAAAUAAAAAUAGUAGGACAACAAAAAAAAAUGAACUACUGACAACAAAAAAUAAAUUACUGUUUUUUUUUUCAAUUGACAGUUUUUUUUUAUUUGCUUAAUUGUUCCCUUUUUUUACACACACACACACAAAAUUGAAAACAUAACUGUUCGAACGUGUUAAAUCUCAAAAUGUUCGGCUCUAAAUUGCAUAAAAAAUCUAAAUUUGCGAGACCUAAAAUACCGUUCACGUAAACAAAACGAUAUUAUUAAUAAUGCAAAAUCAUUUAUUCAUGAACAGGAUCUCAGCCAUGUGAUACAAGCCCAUUUCAUCUUGUACCUAUAAAAUCUUAAAUAUAUAUGCAUAUAUAAAAAAUUGUGGAAGGGUUAACUGAAGGAUUGACUGGCGGUAUGAUGAGCUGCCAAAUACUAUUAGACAAGGAACAAAAUUCUGUGUUUCAUGAAAAUUAAGAAGUAGAUUUUUAGAAAGAUUCUAACUAGCUUAUCAUUUUUAUCUGUAAUCUCAAAACAAUCAUUUUUUGUGAACUCAGUUGUGAAUAAAUAAAUGAAAUAAGAGAAUGAACCAUCAGAUUUACUGAUUGGAACUAAUUAAUGAUGAUUUUGGCUUAAAUGCAAACCGAAUGCCUUUGCCCAUUAUCAACUUGCAGAAAACAUACUCAUUGAAGUUCAAGAGAAUAAAGAACACGAGAAACUGAACAAUACAAAUAUAUACGAAUAAAGGAUUAAAGUAAAUGGAGAAAAGUUGUUACAGUUACAAUACAAAUCGAAGUCGUAAUCCAAUUAUUUAUGACAAGAGAUCAUCCAAGUCCAGCAUCAAGCCGAAUGAACCGCGCACAUCCCCUAUUGGUUCUUGAAGUAAGUCUUCCAGAAAAGAAUAGUCUUCCUCAGUUAACUCAGGUAGUCCAUCACUGUCUUCGUGUUGCACCAAUGAUUCAGGCACCGCCAUGGGCACUUCAACGAUACUCUCCGAAUGACAAUGAUAAUUCUCUCCAGUUUCUCUACCCUGAAGCAUGUUGUUCCCGGAGUCAUAUUGUUGGUUACAUAUCAUCUGAUCAAAAUGACUCAUCAUCAUCUCCAUGGAUGGCUCGUAAACACUGCUUGCAAGCCCCAUUCCACCAGCUAAGCUCUGCUCACUCAUCAUGUCAGAACUGCUGCAGCUUACUUCUUGAUAAUCCAUAUAGUUCUGGUGUUGAUUCUGUUGGUGGGUCAACAGCCUAUCCAUCUCAAUAUCUGCUACUUGUUCGGAUUGAUUGCUGUUGUCUUGAAAACCCUUCAGCUUUCUUUUCUUUGCAGAACCGUAAUUCAUAAUAUCAUGGCCAGUUGGUUGAUUCUUUCGGAGCCUGCAAAGCACAUAAUUGGUAGCUUGAUUCUUGGGCAUAUGUAGAGUGUACUCGUGCAUGAUCCAAGCCCCGUGAUCCUCACAACCUUGUUUCUCGUAACGAAACCUCUUCUUGGAGCCGAUUUUGAUUUUGGAUUGGCCGAUUACUAUAUCUUUACCAGCAUCCUCCCCUUGCCAAGUACCGCCAGAAGAUCCCACUUUGCGGUCGAUUCUGGAACCCUUGGAAGACUUUUUCUUCAACUGGGUGAAGAAAUAAAGAUCCUCAUCAGCAUUUAAAAAGGGUCCUCCAUGAGAAUCCCAAAUCUCAGAGGGUUUUUCCUCGUAAAGAUUACAAUCCAUGAUGAAAUACUCAGCAAGAGGGAUGAAUAUUCCCGAAACUUUCUUCUUGAGAUAAUGUUCGAUGAGUUCUUCAUCGGAUGGUCUGAACUGGAAGCCAUGGGGAAGAAAGGGUCCGUGUUCUUGCAUUUUGUUUGAGGAGAAGAGGGUUAAUUGAAUGGUGGGUUGGUUGAUUGAUGAUUGAUGGAGGAAAGUUUUUCGGCGAAUUAUUGAAAACAAAGAACACGGAAGCCGAGAGAGAAGCAAAGAUAGGUUUAGAGAAUUAGAGCAGAAGUGGUAAGAAGCGGGGGUGUUAAAGCUUCCUUAUAACAUAUGGAGGAGUGAAGUGACGUAGCUUGGAUUACAAGUAACAAUUUCCUAGAGGAGUGAAGUGACCUAGCUUGGAUUACAAGUAACAAUUUCCUAAGGCAACUCCGAGAAACGCGGGUGAAUUUGCGAGUUGGGUAAAAAGUCCUUACAUUUAAUAACCUUCCUAAAUCGGACAAAUUCAAGAAGUCGUUGAGCUUGAGGCUGACGCCAAGUCGGUCUUUAGAAAAAAAAAAAUCUCUUUUUUUUUAAUAUUUCGUGAUUAUUAUUAUUAUUAUUAUUAUUAUUCUGAAAAAAUAAUGAAAACUCAGAAGUCCCCUAUGAAAUCAUAAAAUGCACAAAUGUUAAAAUGCGGUUCUUCCUUUGCUAUUUGCUAAACCCUAACCCUAACCCUAACCCCCAGUUUGUUUCCACUCGAGAUUAGAUAUUUGGUGUUGUAAGAAGUUCUGUGAGUGGAAUUAGCUAAUCAUGCAACUAUAGGAUUUUAAUUCCCCCGUGUAGUGCUGAAAUUUCGGUCUUGUGCACCUCUCCAACUAAUCACCACGUCUGUAUUGUAAAUAGACGCUUACGAAUAAUCCAGCCAAAAUAAUAGGAAUUAGACAUAUGGCCAUUCCAAAUAGAAAGAAUCAUAUUUUUUUUAACUCUUUUUUCCAUUGCUACUGUGAAAUAAAAUUACUAGAUUUCAGAUAAGAUUUCAAAUAAUAAUGGAUUGGUGUUAAUUAAAUACUAUUUAUAUAUCAAGAUUAUUUAAAGCUAAUUUGAAAAUAUUCGUAACCUAAUUUUUGUUUUUUUUAAAGGAAAAAAAAGGUCAAACUUUUUAAGUAUUAUUUGGAAUUUUUUAUUUAUAUAAUGUGAGUAAUAAAUAAUUUUAAAUGUUGUAAAAUUUAUCCAUAAUAUUUAAGACAUAUAGUAUUAGUCUUUAAAACAUUAAAUGAUUAUUUACAAAUGAGAUCUAAAAGAGAUUUCGGAUCUUGAUAAUUGAAAAAAAAUGAUCCUGAAACCAAAUUAGUUCAACAAACAUAUAACUUUCUAUGAUACCAACUAUAUAAUUUGCAAUGUUACAGAGAUUAUGGCAGCAACAGUUCAAAUAAACAACCUCUACAGCUGAUGUUUUUACUUCACAAUUCAAAAUAUGCAAAUUUGAUCAUCUACUUAUCUAUCUAUGCAACAGAUUGUAUGCGGGUAAAUCUUGUACACAAGAAAUAUCUUCGAGUUUAAGCUCGCGCUCUAAUUGUGCUCUUGUAGACUUCAAUACAUCCUGAAAAAAAAAAUCAUAUAACAACAAUUAAGCCUAAAUCAUGGUUCAUGAAUAUAUAUAUAUAUAUAAAGCGGAGGAUGCUAGGUUAAGUUUACGUUAAAUUCCAUAUAUGAAGCCCGUUUUGCAAGCCAUUGAGCAUCCAUCAUUUGAAAGGCUACACAAUAAAGGUUGUCGAAUGCCAUUUCAUCUUUCUCAAGCAGUUCUAGAAAGCGGAUACCAGCUGAAGAAGAUGGCUUUCCUGCACGUAAAAUUGAACAAUAUGAAGACACCAAGUGGAAAUGCAGAAUGUAGCACAAAGUUAAGCGUGUUUAAUAAAAUAUGGCUGGACAGAUGUUGGAUGAGCAAGUUGAUUUCUUAAGGGGACGCUUGGAACCAAGGCUCCUCAUGGUUGACUGGGGUGGCUUUGCCGUUUCCCAGCUUUUCAGGAUCGAGGAGUGAACCGCAACGAUUACAAUAAAUGUUACUUAGUCAGAACUUUAAUUACCUGAUUGAAGAUCCAACAUCUGUAUUAACAUAAAAGAAAUGUUGAUGCCAGCAACAGCAAAGGGAUACUCCCAUUCUGCUCUUGUGCCGUCUUGUUUGUGUAACAAUCUCUGAAAAGAGUCCUGUUGAAUAAGACCAAAUUACUAACGAUCAAAUUUAAUUUCCUUGUAAGGGCAACCACCACCAAAGUCCUCACUUUCCUCUUGGUUAAUGUAAAUAACAAUAGAAAAGUUCAGAAACCAAAAAUGGGAACAAGUACAACCCCAUACAAUUAAUAGGCUUCUACAAGUAUUGAACAUUAGCAGAAUAUUAGGUAUGAUUCCAAAAUAAAAAAAUAAGCAUUCACAAAGUUUAACAGAAUCUUAGAAAUUAAAACAUGACUACAACUUUUGCUGUAACCCUAUUGGUGGCAAUGCUUUACCGAACUUUUAAAGCUGAUACAAGAAGAUGGGGAGAAAGGACAAGGAAAAGAAAAAUUCUUUACCAGAUCAAAAUAUUUGAGUGUAGCUACCAAAUAUAAAUAUCUUCUCAUAGCUAGCAAAGUGAAGGCAAAAGUAUAUUUACCAGAAUUUGCUGGCAGCCAAACCAAUGAACCUUCUUUAAUGACACAAGGGUUAACACCAAUCAAUAUAAUUUGAAUUUCAAUCAGGAUAUCUGAACUUUCGCCACUCAAAAAUGUCUACUGCUAUUUUUUUUAGUGUUUCGAAAAAAUUUUCAUGCAGUCAUAUUCCCCAAUCACAUAAUCUGAGAACUGUAAUGGCUGACCAAGAGCUUCAGAGAAAGAAUGUUUCUUUUCCAUUGCAGUUCAGUUUUUUUAAUGAGUUUCAAUGCUUUCCAGUCACUCUCUAGCUUCUAUAAGAAGAUGUGUUAUAAUGCAUGGUGUCAUCUGUUCACAAGGAAUAUAAUUCUCUAAAUCUAUAAAUAGUUGCUUCAGUCUUCUCUUGUUCUGAUAUCUGAAUUUGAAAGUGCAGUUGGGCAUGGCUAGUGCAUUAGAGACUCUCUGUGGGCAAGCUUAUGGGGUGAAACAAUACCACAUGCUAGUAAUAUAUCUUCAAAGAUCGUGGAUAGUCUUAACCAUUUGUGCUAUCCUUCUCUUACCUCUGUUCUUCUUCACUACACCAAUUUUGGUGGCUUUGGGCCAAGAAGAAAAUAUUGCUGAAGUGGCGGGAACUAUUUCUCUCAUUCUAAUCCCUGUGUUGUUCGCCUUCAUCGUAUCCUUUACCUGCCAAAUGUACCUACAAGCCCAGAGCAGAAACAUGAUUAUCUCCUACUUGGCGGCAUGUUCAUUUUUGCUUCAUCUCUUUCUUUCGUGGCUUUUUACCAUGAAAUUGAAUUUUGGACUCCCUGGAGCAUUGGGAUCAACAAUUCUGGCAUACUGGAUUCCAAACUAGGGUCAACUUCUGUUUGUUAUAUGUGGAGGGUGCCCUCAAACAUGGAAGGGUUUCUCAUUUGCCGCUUUCAAGGAUCUCUGGCCUGUAGUAAAACUUUCCUUGUCGUCUGGUGCCAUGCUAUGGUGAGGUUCUUGUCUAAUUGUGGCCUUGCAUAAAUUUAGGCAGUAAAAGAUUGUGCAUUUUAUAAAUUCUAAUUGGCUUAACUGGGAAUCGGCAGAUAAGAGUCUAGGGCUUACAUCUGAAUCUAUAUCAUUUCAUAUGUGUUUGUUACUAUUAUUAGUUUCGAGUGGGAUCUUUCCUCAUUUUGUUUUUGGCCAUGUUUCAGCCUUUCUUGGUUCUUCCCUUUUGUUAAGAUCAUUGAUUGCUUCAGUUUGUGUUACUGAGUGGCAAUAUCAUAUAUUCUUUCUUUAAUUGGGUUGUGGGGGCAGGGAAAUGGUGAAUUUUAUAUUAUGAUAUGAAUCCCUGAUAAAAAGUACUUGUUUGUGGUCUACAGACAACAAUGAUGUUAAUAUAACAUCGCUGAGGAACAAUGAUGUUAAUCUAGUAUUUGCUGAUUAACUGCCAUAUUUAUGCUUUCCUGUAACUCAACUAUGUGGGGAUUUUAACUCAGCAUUAUGUUAUACUUGACAGUCUCGAGCUCCGGUACAACACAGUCUUGGUUCUUUUNNNNNNNNNNNNNNNNNNNNNNNNNNNNNNNNNNNNNNNNNNNNNNNNNNNNNNNNNNNNNNNNNNNNNNNNNNNNNNNNNNNNNNNNNNNNNNNNNNNNUAUAUGUACGAUAAAAUUGUAUUGGACCCAUAAAAUAUUCAAUAUUUUAUAAGGUUUUUCUUUUAGAUUUUUUUUAGAAAUGAAAUAAUAAAGAAAGUUUGAAGAGAGGAAUACGAUUAUUAAGACUAAAAGAGUGAGAAAGUUAUUAAAAAUUAUAAAAUUUAUAAAUGAUAAUAGCAUUUAUUUAAAAAAAAUACUUUUUACAUUAAAUAAAUUAUAAUUAAAAAAAAGAUUUUAAAAGAAUUUUGGAGGGGUGCUAAUAGUCCCACUCCUUUGUUUUAUGCUUCAGCGUCUCUUACACAAUGUGAAAGGAAAAUCGUCCUAAUUUCAUUUAAAAAAAAAAAAAGCGGAAAAAAGUGGAAAAAUAAACUAUUUGGAAAAAUGAGACGUGGCAUUUGAAAAUGGGAACCCUUAUCUUUCAAGUUUCAAACCUAGUUAAUUAAUACUUGAGGAUGAGUUUUUGUCCUGCACGGCUGGACCCCAAGUCAAUCUGUACGACAUCAAUUCUCGUGACGUCUGAUUUGAUGACAAAUGAAUAACAAGAGCUCCUGAUAGCUUGCACAAAAAGUGGGGUACCCUGAUUUCGUUAUCAAACUUAUUAUGUCACCUUAAUUCUGGUACGAAUUGUCGUCCCCAGUGAGUUAACUAGUUCGUUACCCAGCGAACCCACUCUCUUGUUCUUAAUCGCACAAGUUUUUGUCUUAAAAUGUAUAUCUAUAACUACAAAUGUAGAGAGAGAGAGAGAGAGAGACGUGUCAAAUUAUCAAUAAGAGAGAAACGUGUCAAAUUAUUCUUCAGAGCUUAUGGGCUCCACUUCCCCAAUAACAAUUUGACACGUGUGUAAUUGCCCCAACUACAUACUAUUCAAUUCUAUGUGAUGUAUCCAUAUAAUAAUUUUAUAACACUAGUUAUAAAUAAUUUUUCGGUUCUAUAAAAUAAAACUAUUGUGACUCCACGUAAUAAAAAAAAAGAUUAUUAUUACUUUUCAGAUAAUUUUUCUGUAGCAUAUCAAUUUGCACAUUAUAUUAGAUUAGAGUGUAUAAAUUAAUUUCCAUAAAAUUAUUUGUAACUCUAUCGUUAUUGUUUUAUGAUAAGAAAAAAAUAAUAAAUAAUUUUCUUAUUACGAAUGGAUUUUUUCAAUCAGGAAUUCUUAAACUUUAAUUUUAAGUUAUGAUCUGUAAUUUAAUAUUGCAUAAAUUUAUAAAUAAUGCGCUGGCGCUACCACAUUCAAUUUUGAAUAUUUUAUUAUGAAUCAAAUAGGACCAAUAACUCAAGACUUUAUUAAAACUUGCAGUUAAAUUAGCCCCAUCGGUCUGUUAUUAAACCAACACCAUUAAUUUCUUGAUUAGGAAAGAUCACAAUUAACAAAAAAAUAAUUUUUUUUUCAUGACUUGUGAAUAUGGUCGUCGUGAGUCGUGACCAAGGGUACCGCUACCCACGCUUUGGGUAAUGUCGGGCGGGAUGAUAAAUUUUAUUUAUUUUUAGUGCAUACUAUUUUGUGGACCCGAGGACACCUCACAAAGGCCAAACACGUGUAAAUUUCUUGUCAAAAUUAAUAUUUGAAAAAGAUGGCACCCAAAGGUCGUCUGACUUUAUGACGGUCCCAAUAAAGAGAAAAAAAACAAGGAACUUUUUUUGACAAAAGAUUGUAAAAGAAAAAGAGUGAAAAAAAAAGAUUAUUUAUGUAAUUCAUUUUUUUCUAUUAAUAAAAAGAAGUGGCAACAAAAAAGAAAAAUUGGAAAUUUUUUUUUGAGCUUAUGAUAAUUUUACAAAUAUAUUAUAAUUUGAAAUCCGGCAAGAUGAGUUAAUAAAAAAAAAAUUAUUUAUUUUUUGGUUUGAAGCACGAGGUGGUCCUGAGUGGGCUCCAACUGUGGGAAACACCUUUAAGCCCGUACCACAAUUCAGACUAAUUCGCGCUCGCACCGGGUCGGCCCAUAAGGGGUAAAGUACUAGCCAAAGUGGUGACUCCAUACGAGAGCGGGACUUGAACCCCUGACCUCUCUUAAGGAGUGAGAGUGCCGAACCACUCACACCAACCAACUUUGGUUAAUAAAAAAAAAAUUAUUGAUAAUUCACGUGUGAGACAAUUUCAGAAUUUUAUAAUUUUUAUGAAUAGUUUUCUAAAUUAUGGAUUCGUUAAGGAGUAUCAAUCAGGGUAUUAUUACAUUAUUGUCUUAAAACAAUUUUGUUGUCUGAUUGAUGAAGGGUUGCAGCAUUCACAAAGCUACGUGGAGUUAGAUGAAACCAAUGGUUUCAACUACCCCUGCAACUUGGAUCCUGCUGACUGCUGAGCAUUGGAAAAUGGCAAAAUACAAAAGCAUUAACAACAUGUAGAGUGGCUGAAUAACAUGUGCGUGCAAUGAAUCCACUUGGUUUACUUAUUUUAGCUUAGCUGGCUGACCAGUUUUCUGUUUCUUAUAUUUUCUUUGCGGAAGAAAAGCAAGGCCUUUUGAGAGCUCCCUUUGCACUAUUUCUUCUCUCUCUCUCUCUCUCUCUCUCUCUCUCUCUCUCCUGCUAGCUCUCAUCUGUCACUGUGAGUCUUCGUCUUCUUCUUCUUCUUCUUCUUCUUCUUCUUCUUCUUGUAAUGCGCAAUAUUUUAUAUGUUCUGUAUUCUUUCUUGUGUUUCCAUGUUGAACCAGAAUUUAAUUCUUUUCUAUUUGUUUUUUUUUUUUAAAUCUUCUUAAAAAAUCUGGUGAUUUCAAGAAGAAGAAGAAGCUGCACUUGUUUUAUGAAUACAACUGAGUUAAUUUGUGUACUUUUAUAAUGUUUUAAGCUUAUGUUGGUCAUUUUGUAUUUUGUUUUUGCAUUUUCAUAAGUUUCUCUAGGAUCCCUUUUCUCAAGUGUGGUCCUUAUCUGUCCAUUCUGAGUUAAAGUGGAGGUGUGGUUAGGUUUCUGAUAGAUGAUUUUAUUAGUAAUCUUCAUUAUAUGUCAAGGUAAUGGGAUAAAGUUUGGUGCAUAAUCAUUUCAUAAUCUUGCAAGUUUUAGUAACUUUCAAUAACUCUGUUUCUUGUAAUUGCAGUGUUUAUUGGUUUAUUGAGGGAAUUUUGUAGGAUUCACAAUGUUUAUUCAUUAUUCACCCAUUUAGGGGUUUUGAUUUUUUUUUUUCCUUCAUGUUAUAGUUUGUAAUCACAAAAUAUUAGGCAUUAAAAAUGUGAAAUAAUUACAUUGGUAGCUGUUCUCCUUUAGAUAAUCCGUUGACAUGUAUAUCAUUUUGUAGAAGUACUACUGGUUCUAGGCUUGUAUCUGUAAUUGAAAUUUUAUUGGCAGCUGUUAUUGAACCAUUGAUUUAAGGGACCGCAAUUCAGAUGCAUAUGUCCUUAUUAGUUGAACUCCUUUUUGUUCUGGCACCAUUCAUCUUUCCUUUCAUUGGAUCCUUUCUAAGAUGAGAAUCAUUACUGUAUAUUUUUUGUAGCAGCGGGUGAAUGAUUAGAAGAUGUCUUUAAUCAUAACUAAUAUAAGGGUUCUAUUCAUGUGUGCCUUAACUAUUGACAGUAAAUGUAAAAUUUCUUUUAACUGUGUGAUUGAAGGGAUAAUUUAAUUUUCUGUUUGAUGAUAAAUUGAUUUCUAUUGUAACUUGGAUGACGAUGUUUGAUGCUUGCAAAACAGCAAAAGUAGUUUAAAAAAUGAUCAGUUACACAUCACAUUAUGAUAUAUGGAAUAAAUAUGUGGCCAGCCAGAAAGGAAUGAAAAUGGUAAACGAGUAAAGGCAUUUGUGCCAAUUAUGCUGUUCAGGAUUGUGGGGAAUCAUCUACUGCUUUAUUGGAACAAGCAGCUAUAUCCCUCUUUAUUCUAAAGUCAUAGCAAGGAAAAUAGACAACAUAGUGCACGAUUAAAAUUCUUUCAUUGGUGGAAAGAAAAAAUUUGUCAACUUCUGUGCCGUCUUGGCAUUCUUCUCUGUAUUUGAAUGUGCUCUUUUCCCAUAUAUGCCUAAUUUUAAUUCUUUCCUCAAUUUCUACAAACAUUGACAGUGAAAGAAAAGCUUUUUUUCUGGAGGUGAGAAUGGUGGGAGAGAUCAAAGAGAAGCUAUUAGGAAACACGGAGGAAAAUGAUGUUGAUGGGCAAGUGAAAUUCAGGCAAAAGCUGUGGGUGGAAUCCAAAAAGUUAUGGAUUGUAGCAGCUCCCGCUAUUUUCACAAGAUUUUCUUCAUUUGGGCUCAACGUAGUUAGUCAGGCAUUUAUUGGGCACAUUGGCGCGACCCAACUAGCUGCCUACUCACUUGUGUUUACUGUUCUCUUGAGGUUUGCAAAUGGCAUCCUGGUAAGCACUCUCUAUCUGUUUCUUACUUGAGUUGUCAUUUAUUGAAUAGGUUUUUGUUUUGGCCUUGAUUACUACGGCCAGCUUUAGAGUAUCUGAGGUCUUAAGCGGAUUUAUUUUACGAGGUCUCUUUUUACUCAGCAAUGUCAAUACUCAAAAAAACAUAAAAGAACCCAAAAUUCAUUUCAUCUUUAGUUCUUGAAUUUCAACAAAAAAUCAAGAAGAUCCUAAAAAAUUUUGAAAACAAAACCUAAAAUUUACUUUCUUCAAAACAUUUACAAAAAUAAACAAACAAAUAAAUGAGAACAAUACUAUUUUCAAAUCGAAUGUUUAGAAUGGUAGCACAUGAAAAGUUGGGAUUAUGAUUUGAUAAUCAGAAAAUGGAUAUGGACUUUGUAUUUCAAGAAACUAAUUUUUGAUCUUUUUGAAUGAACUAGCAUGUAAUAAUUUUUUUUUUAAGAGAAGAAAGCAAGAAAUUUUUUCAUCAAUGAUUUUUUAUAUUAUAAGUUUCUUAAUAAAAAUUAAAAGGAAUGUUACAAAUCAAAGAUUCUAAUGUUAAAUAAUUAAGCUUUUUUAAGAAACUGAAAAUGUAAAAAAUUUAUUUAUUUCUCCUGAAAAAAUAAUAAUGAAUAAAUUAAUGGUUAGACAAUAUUAUUAAUUAUAUCUCUUCAACAAUAAGAUUACUAAAUAUAGAUUUUUUAUGAAAAAAUAAUUCUUAAUUAUAGGAUAAUUAGUGAUCAGAGAGAUGUCUAAUAGGCUUUACUACCAUACAUAAUAUUUUGAAAAAAAAUCUUUAUUAAUUAGAGAAUUAUUAAUGAAAUACUUAAAAAAUGAGGCAUUUCUAAAAUUUGGGGCUUAGGCGACUGUCUAGUUUGCCUAUAUUUAAAGCUACCUCUGUUGAUUACUGUUUUUUUUUUCGUGUGUGUAGUAUUUGUGCUAUUUUUAGUGGAGAAAGCUGCAAAAAGAUAUGUAUCAUAAAUUAUGUUCUGUUCAGGGUUGUGGUUGUGAGAUUUAAUAGCUUAAAACAUGACUACAACUUUUGCUGUAACCCUAUUGGUGGCAAUGCUUUACUGAACUUUUAAAGCAGACACAAGAAGAAGGGGAGAAAGGACAAGGAAAAGAAAAAUUCUUUACCAGAUCAAAAUAUUUGAGUGUAGCUACCAAAUAUAAAUGUCUUCUCAUAGCUAGCAAAGUGAAGGCAAAAGUAUAUUUACCAGAAUUUGCUGGCAGCCAAACCAAUGAACCUUCUUUAAUGAUGCAAGGGUUAACACCAAUCAAUAUAAUUUGAAUUUCAAUCAGGAUAUCUGAACUUUCGCCACUCAAAAAUGUCUACUGCUAUUUUUUUUAGUGUUUCGACAAAUUUUUCAUGCAGUCAUAUUCCCCAAUCACAUAAUCUGAGAACUGUAAUGGCUGACCAAGAGCUUCAGAAAAAGAAUGUUUCUUUUCCAUUGCAGUUCAGUUUUUUUAAUGAGUUUCAAUGCUUUCCAGUCACUGUCUAGCUUCUAUAAGAAGAUGUGUUAUAAUGCAUGGUGUUAUAAGUCAUCUGUUCACAAGGAAUAUAAUUCUCUAAAUCUAUAAAUAGUUGCUUCAGUUUUCUCUUGUUCUGAUAUCUGAAUUUGAAAGUGCAGUUGGGCAUGGCUAGUGCAUUAGAGACGCUCUGUGGGCAAGCUUUUGGGGCGAAACAAUACCACAUGCUAGGAAUAUAUCUUCAAAGAUCAUGGAUAGUCUUAACCAUUUGUGCUAUCCUUCUCUUACCUCUGUUCUUCUUCACUACACCAAUUUUGGUGGCUUUGGGCCAAGAAGAAAAUAUUGCUGAAGUGGCAGGAACUAUUUCUUUCAUGCUAAUCCCUGUGUUGUUCGCCUUCAUCAUAUCCUUUACCUGCCAAAUGUACCUACAAGCCCAGAGCAGAAACAUGAUUAUCUCCUACUUGGCGGCAUGUUCAUUUUUGCUUCAUCUCUUUCUUUCGUGGCUUUUUACCAUGAAAUUGAAUUUUGGACUCCCUGGAGCAUUGGGAUCAACAAUUCUGGCAUACUGGAUUCCAAACUUGGGUCAACUUCUGUUUGUUAUAUGUGGAGGGUGCCCUCAAACAUGGAAGGGUUUCUCAUUUGCCGCUUUCAAGGAUCUCUGGCCUGUAGUAAAACUUUCCUUGUCGUCUGGUGCCAUGCUAUGGUGAGGUUCUUGUCUAAUUGUGGCCUUGCAUGAAUUUAGGCAGUCAAAGAUUAUGCAUUUUAUAAAUUCUAAUUGGCUUAACUGGGAAUCGGCAGAUAAGAGUCUAGGGCUUACAUCUGAAUCUAUAUCAUUUCAUAUGUGUUUGUUACUAUUAUUAGUUUCGAGUGGGAUCUUUCCUCAUUUUGUUUGUGGCCAUGUUUCAGCCUUUCUUGGUUCUUCCCUUUUGUUUAGAUCAUUGAUUGCUUCAGUUUGUGUUACUGUGUGGCAAUAUCAUAUAUUCUUUCUUUCAUUGGGUUGUGGGGGCAGGGAAAUGGUGAAUUUUAUAUUAUGAUAUGAAUCCCUGAUAAAAAGUACUUGUUUGUGGUCUACAGACAACAUAUAAUAUCGCUGAGGAACAAUGAUGUUAAUCUAGUAUUUGCUGAUUAACUGCCAUAUUUAUGCUUUCCUGUAACUCAACCAUGUGGGGAUUUUAACUCAGCAUUAUGUUAUACUUGACAGUCUCGAGCUCUGGUACAACACAGUCUUGGUUCUUUUAACAGGAAACAUGAAAAAUGCUGAGGUUGCCAUUGAUGCUCUUGCGAUAUGGUACCAAAUUCAUAGGCUCCUUCCCAUUAUCAUCAUUUUGGAUUUUGUUUUCCUCUUCUUUUAUAUGGGGCCAGUUAUCUAUUUGGUUUAAAUUAUUCUUAUUUGCAGCAUCAACAUCAAUGGGCUAGAAAUGAUGAUCUCGCUUGGUUUCUUGGUUGCAGUAGGGUAUAAUCCUCUUCUUUUUCUUCUAUUUUUUUUAUUUUUUUAUAUCUUUAUUCUGUUCUUUUAAACAAACUUACUAGAUUUAAAGAAUGAAAAUCUGAUUAUGAAACUCAGUUAACUACAAUCCCGACUGCCUUAUCCAUUUGCAGGGAAAAAAAAACUUAUUUUUUGCCUUCAGCCUUGACCAAUAAUUUCAGCCAUAUCUUGCGUGAACUUCGGAUAGAAGUCAAUCUAAUUAUAUUUCUGUAUUCUAACAAAAACUGCUCGAUCUCCUGGAAACAUUUCUGUGCAUAAUGCAUGAUCCUCAAGGCGAAGUGUUGUAGAAAAUGGAAUUAUCUAUUCCCUUAACAAUGUUUCACGUUAAUAUUGAAUAUUACUUCUCUAUUACCCUUUUCUUUGGAAGGUUGAUAUAUGUGCUGAAUAAACUCAGUUUAGUUGGAAAAAUGUUCAGUGUUAGGGUGUCAAAUGAGCUUGGCCGAGGAAGCGCAAAUGCUACGAAAUUUGCUAUUAAGGUGGCAGUUUCCACAUCCUUUUUGAUUGGAUGUGCACUCUUUAUCAUUUUCCUCUUCCUCAGAGGACGCGUAGCAUACAUUUUCUCCGACAAUUAAGAUGUGAUUGACACAGUUGCAGAUCUAUCACCACUACUCUCUUUCUCUAUACUUUUGAACAGUGUGCAGCCAGUGCUCUCCGGUAAUGCUUCCCUUUCUUGUCAGUGUCUUUCUAUAUUCUCCAAGUCACCAAUUGAAUGGGAGGGUCCAAGAUAAAAAGGAAAAUAUGUUGUUAAAUUCGUAACCAAAAAUCAUGCCUGAACAGGAGUUGCUGUCGGGGCUGGAUGGCAGAGUAUCGUAGCAUAUGUUAACAUCGCUUGCUACUACCUGAUUGGGAUUCCUAUCGGAGUCGUGCUUGGUUAUUUAACCCAUUUGGAAGUCAAAGUGAGUUUUCUUUUUCCCAUUCUGCUGUAUCUUUGCGUUUUACUUAGACUUGGCAGUAUUUGUAUUGUUACUGUUGUCUCCAAAUAAAUAUAACUCAGUUCGGUUCCAUUUUAAUUUGGCUCAAAUCAUCAUAUCCUAAUUCUCUGGUCCUGAAAGUACGAAUAUAAUGAACAACCGGUCUCCUCAUUGUAUAAUGCAGAUACCUUGCAGCUUGGUUUGUCAUCAUGUUAUUGAUUAGGAGUGCCGCAGCAGUUUUUUGUUAAGGAGUUGCUUUUCAUGAGUGCACACACAUCAUUCUUUUCUUCAAAAUUCUUAGGCACAGAAUACAAAUUGUUCCACAAUUAAGUAGUUUAAUUUUCUUUUUGUACUGGCUCUAUUUUGUCCUCUCUCUUUUUGCAGGGUGUUUGGACCAGAUAAGUGGUUCAUUCCCAAAUCACCGGAACAAUCGCCUAACGAACAAGCAGAUGUCGCAGCUUGACAUCAAACUUCUUCAAUUUCCAAAAUCUUUUUUGCUUGGUGUAAAGCUUUUGCCAAUUAAUUGCUUACAGUUUUGUUUUUGCUUUCAAGAGUACAAUCAAGCAUUCAAUCUGCCUCAUGGGACUUGAUGUUCAAGUACAUUGCUCAUGUAGAUGGAGAAUCAAAAAGUGGAAUUUCUUUUUUUUGUCCUGUUUUUGGUGUUUCAACAUCACCAUUGUGAGAUUCAUUCGUAUUGGCUUAAUUGUAGCAUUGGACAUGAUAAAUUUCGGAUUUGUUCAUUAGAUAGUUGUAGAAAAUGAGCAUGUGCUCACUUAAUACAGUGUUCAUACUCAUGCAUUAGUUUUGUAAAUAGUGUGUACAAUAGUUUAUAUCCUAGCGUGAUUAGUAAAGAUUAAUUGCUUGUGUCAUCAAAUUACUGGAUUAGCAAUAAUGUCUGCAACAUUUCAAAUAAAUAAAAAAAAGUUUGCAAGGUGCUUACAAAACAACUUCUCUUCUGUGUCUCCAUUUGUUGGAUGAAAUGAUGUUUAACUCAUACUUUGAAACAACAUCAUCCAGGUCUGCUAUGCCAAAGGUAUUUUACAUACCUUCACAAGACAACCAAUCAAAUUGGUUCAAAAAUUUUGGAAGAAUCAAUUUGGUGGACCAACCGCGAGAUGAAGACUGGUACCGAUUAAGUAGAAAGAAUGAUUGGUUAUAUAAACCAAAAAGAACGAAAAAGAGCAUGAAGACAAGCUGCAUAGGUCAUUGAUGACUUAAAUGAUCUUCAAUUAUAUAAGCAAUCGUACAGGACAGUUUUUUCUCCCUAUUUCAGCAUAUGUCCAGUGAUGAUUUGUCACGUAACAUAAUAUUAAAUUUAAUUAUGCCAAUUUUUUCUGCUCAAAUAAUCGUUACCUGAAAAAGUAGAUUGGCAACAAUAAGGACAAAGCCAACAUGAUUAUUGUGGUAAAGUGUUGACCAUCACUCAAAUCUUAUCGCAGGUUCAUUCACUUAUAAUAAAAAAACAAUCAAGCUUUGAAUUACAAAAUAAUAAAGAUAUUCUUAACGGACGGACAUUAGCCACCCACAAUCUAUAUAUAUAUAUAUAGUGAAAACAAAGUUCAAUUUGUGUUUUGAGUUUAACACUCGCGAUCAUAAAUAUUAUUAUUAUUACUUUGUGCUUGUGCGCAGAAUCCAUGAACAACGCUGCAGUGUAAAUUAGGCAGCUAACAAGGCCAAAAAAGAGUAAGUUCAAUUUCCUUGCUCCACUACUAUCUCUUGUUUUCAUUUCUCUUUUGCUUUGUGAUUUGUGCCCAAUCCUGGAAUUUGUAAAUUUCAUCUCAGAACACACUGCAUGUUGUUCCUGAUUGAGGGUACCUUUUUCCCUCUUCGCAAAGGGGGAUGUUAAGUUGUUUUGGACUCUCUUUAUUACAGCAAAAGCUGGAGGCUAAAGCGCUGGGUUUCUGAAACACCCAAUUUUUGAUGGAAUCAAUUUAAUUUUACAGAGAGAAUGAGGUGUUGGCUUUAAAAGAGUAACCAAAUGUUCAAUAAUGCUUUUCAGCUUUUGGUAUUGAUAGGUACACCUGCUAUUAUGGUGUUUGGUUUCAUCUACCAGUCAAACUCAAACAUAUUACAACAACUAACGGACAAGUACACUUCGAAAUAAAUACACUACCACCACCAGAUGCGCAUACAUCGAUGUAUUAUUCCAAUCACCAUAUGCAUCACUAUCUUUACAUUUUAGAAUUUUUUUUUUGUUUUCUUUUGGGGCGGGGGGGGGGGGGGGGUGUUGAGGAUAAAUAUUGAAUAAUACCACUUGGACAGAAAAGCAAGAUGACAGAAAUGAUAAACUGGAGGGUAUUUUUUACUUACGUUAACUAUUUGGUUACAAGUGAGAAAUUGAGUUCCAACUUUAUUGCCCUGUUUCAUAAUGACAAAAAUAAAAAUCACAUGAUUCUCAUUUCGCUUUCUAUCACUUUGCUUUCCUGUCAAGAUGUCAUUUCUUGUAAACAAUCGUGGCUCAAUUUGGGAGAGUGUGAAUCGUACAAUCUAAUUUGAGCGCGUUCACGGUCCCAAGUGGAUGGCAUAAUCACACAUUUAUAUGCCAUCAACCAUGAGUUUUUUACAGUUCCUUAAUUUGCAUGCACCAGCUUUCUUUCACUAACAUGAGACAAAACCUUGUGGGGGCAUUACUACAGUAUUUUACACAUAGUGUACCCCACAGUUGAAAUACCGUCACCAAUGCAGCUUAGAGAUAGUGUCCAAAUUGUAAAGUACAAUGUCUUUAUAAUUUCGACUCUUACAACAGGUCAUAUGCUAAAAAAUGUGGUUAAUUUUUGUGCCACAGUAUCCCCUCUGUUUAGAUAAGACUGUCUAUAUAUUUUAUAGAUAGUGAAAUUAAAAGGGCUUUCACAUUCAUGACAUUUAACAUGUUAAAAUCUUGGAAGCUCAAGCUGAAGGCAAUUACAUAAGUUAGCAUUUGUUUAUUAAACACUUCAGAAUAACAAUGGACAACGGAUUGGAAGAGCGAGAGAGGCUUCUGGGAUUCGAGGAACAGGAGAGGAAUGAUCUGAAACAGAGGAUUUGGAAGGAAAUGAAGCUGACGUGGAGGAUUGCAUUUCCUUCUAUACUUUCCAGGAUUGCUUCAUUUGGACAAAUUUUGGUGACACAGAGUUUUCUUGGACAUGUUGGGGAAAUUGAACUCGCCUCAUUUGCACUCGUUCAAAGCAUCUUUUUGCGCUUUGUUAACGGAAUACUGGUAAGCAUCGUCAAUUUGAAUCAUAUACAUGUUUGUGUGUGCGUACGUUUGUGAAUGUGUAGACCACUGGAUUGAAGAAAGACAGUAACCUGAAUGAUUUUCUCUGAUCCUGUACUAAACUGCAAUCUGCUUUAUGUGAUGCCUUUUACAAAUGUCUUUAUAUAUAUAUAUAUAUAUAUCUUUUUAAAGAUCUAGUGACGAGCUGUUGUUUGCCUCUAAAUGUUCUAUGGUUCGUUUCAUUUACUUGUUCAUUCAUUUGAAGCUGGGAAUGUCAAGUGCAACAGAGACAUUAUGUGGACAAGCAUUUGGAGCAGGGCAUUAUCAUAUGAUGGGAAUUUACUUGCAACGAUCGUGGCUAGUUGAUUGUGUAACUGCUACAAUAAUGCUCCCCGUCUUCAUCUUUGGAACACCGAUCAUGAAUCUGCUUGGCCAGCAAAAGGAUAUAGCAGAAACAGGGGGGGUGAUUUCUCUGUGGUUGAUUCCCUUUGUUUAUAACUUCGUCUUCUCCUUGACAAUCCAAAUGUUCUUACAAGCACAGCUCAAGAACAUGAUUAUCGGGUGGCUAUCUACUGCUUCUUUCCUGCUUCACGUGCUUAUGUCCUGGAUCUUUGUGAGUGAACUUGACUUAGGUAUUGCUGGUGCAAUGGGCUCAUUAAACAUUUCUGCUUGGCUAAAUAUCAUUGGAUUGUUUGUUUACAUCUUCUGUGGUUGGUGCCCUGAUACUUGGAAAGGUUUCACCAACGCUGCCUUUACUGACAUUCUUCCUGUAAUAAAGCUGUCGAUAUCCUCCGGGGUCAUGAUAUGGUAAAUAUUGAAUGUUCUUCCUCGGAAAUUAUAACCUGCAUGUCAUGAUGCAUCUCCUGGGUGCUAAUUAAUUUAGCUUGUAAAAUCCUACGAUAGUACAUGAUCUGCUGUUCAAACCUCGCUCAUUUUUAUGCUAUGCUUUAAAAAAUAAGCAAACAAAUAAAUAUUGGAACGCUCUCUAAAUCUGUCUCAUAAGAUUCCGUUUUGACACUUUUUUUUCUUUUUUGGUUUCAUAAUCAAUUAUCUUACUUAAUUUUGAAUUGUGAUAGCUUGGAGCUCUGGUACAAUUCCAUUCUAGUCUUAUUGGCUGGGUACAUGAAAAAUGCAACCGUUGCCAUAUCUGCUUUCUCUAUUUGGUAAGGUCUUAGCUAUUAUUAAAACCUUAUUUCACAUUUAUUACUUCCAGUUCCAGUUGAUUUUCCUAAAUAAUCUUUUUAAGAAUUUGGCUUAAAGCUAAUUAAUUACAUUGUUGUUGCAGCCUCAAUGUCAGUGCAUUUCAAUUAAUGAUCUUCCUUGGCUUCCUUGGUGCCUCAUGGUAUAGAUAUACAUUGCUUCAACAAAUACCCUCUCUGGCUCCUUAUACUUGAAAUUCACAAGCUCUAAUGUUGUAAUAUCAUUUGUUGAUCAGCGUGCGAGUGUCGAAUGAACUCGGGAGAGGAAAUGCGAAAGCCACAAAAUUUUCCAUUAAAGUCAUACUCACUAUUUCAGCCUGUCUUGGAGUGAUCUGUUGGAUUUUAUGUUUAAUCUUUGGCCGUCAGAUUUCAUACCUGUUUACAACUAGUGAGGAAAUUGCAGAAGAAGUAUCGAAACUAUCUGUUCUGCUUUCUUUCUCCCUUUUGCUUAACAGCGUUCAGCCAGUACUCUCAGGCAAGUGUUAUUUCUUCGAAAACUUGGAAAAAAAAAUAAUAAUGCUAUGAUUACUAAGUGUGCGUUUGAUAUUAAGGUGUUACAGCUUAAAAGCUACAUUGGUUGUGGAAAAAAAAUGUAUCUAUAAAAUAAAAGUUAGUAAUACGUAAUAAAUAUAAAUUUUAAAUAAUAAUUUUGAUAAAAUUAUUAAAGAUAUAAUAGAUUUUUCAUCACACAAGUGAAAAAUUGUAUCAGUAUAACUUUUAAGUUACAGUAGUUAGUGUUUACCAAACACUUUAGUGCUGUACCUUUUAAGUUACAGUUGACCAACUUCAAUUCCAAACGCACCCUAAGUAUGAUACUUUGUUGGGAUACUCAUUGAUGCCUCGCAAAUCAAUUUUUCAGGGGUAGCUGUAGGUGCUGGAAUGCAAAGCACGGUUGCAUUUGUUAACUUGGGAAGCUAUUACUUUGUUGGAGUUCCUACAGGAGUUUUGCUUGCAUAUGUGGCCAAUCUCGGAGUUACGGUAAGAAAUAUAGUUUAUGUUUAAUUAAUAAUAACGAUCAAAUGUACUCUGGUUAAUUGAAUACAAUUUUAAUUAAAUAGAUAUGGUGUUUUGUAAAAAUUGUACCAUUGACUCUCUCACGAGUUGAUUGAUGUUGGUUUAAUUUGACAGGGUUUAUGGAUUGGAUUGUUGGGUGGAAUUGUUAUUCAAACCAUUAUUCUUUCCUUCAUCAUAUGGAGGACCGAUUGGGAUGAUCAGGUAAAUUAGGAUUGAUUGCAGGGCACGUGUUGUGAUUACUGCAAAUUUUUAUGAGAUUAAUUAUUGAGUGGUUUUCUUUAGAACACACUCUUUGAAAGGUUUUUUUGGUCCACAAUGGGUGUUUAUUUAGGUUAUAAAAAUUUAAAAAAUAAAUAAAGAUCAAAAGUUGGCUAAAAUUUAUAGAUAUUGCUCUCAUUCUUGCAGGUGAACAAGGCAUCCCAACGUCUCAACAAAUGGUUGCUGAAACCAUCUGAAAAAUCUGAUCGAAGCUCUCUAAAUAUGUAGAGUUGUGUAAUUCAUUACUUGCACAAGAAUAUUUGUCGGUUGGGCCUAUCAGUAGAAUAAUAAUAAAUCUGAAUGAGUUGAAUCCAAAGUUAUUCUUUUUUUUUUUUUUAGAAGGAAUCCAAAGUUAUUCAAUUGAAUGUAAAAUGGAUUUUCCAUCUUCUUUUGUCACCCCUGGAAAAUCCAUCUUAAAAUCUCUUCUUUAAUUAUAUAUUCCACUUAAUGUCAAUUUUUUAAAAUAAAUAUUCUUUUUAUUUUUGAAUCUAUGUGUUCCUGUAAUUUUCUCACUUUUAAAACUAUUUUUAGUCUUUAAUAUCUUUACUCUUCUCUUUGAAUUUUCUCUAUCUGCAAAUUCAAAAAAACUAACUUCUCAAAUAUUAAAAAUAAAAAUAAUGAAAAUGAGAAAAAAAAAGAGAGAAAGGAAAAUAGAUUAAAAUUGAAAUUUGUACGAACUAUUUAUAGUUAUUAUAGAGAUAAGACUAGAAAAGGGAAUGAGAAGCAAACCUUUUAACAAGUACCAAAAUUUGAUGAUUAUAUAAUACCGCGGACUGAAUUGAUACUUUGUUCUUGAUAAGGAUGAAUCACAAGAGCUGAGACGAUCUAGAAAGCUCUUGAUCAUAAUCAAUUUUGUAACCCUACUUCGGUAUGGUGCAUGCACCUGCUGGAAUCAAAUUCCUUGCAAUUGAUAGUUCCAACUUCGUAAGAUGAAAUUCGGUAAUUUUACAUAUAGGUUCGUCCCGAUUUGCAUAAAAUAUAGAUUUUAAAAAGUUUUUAUCUAAAUUUAAAAAGAAAAUAAAAAAAUUUAUUUGAGCCAGGUUAAAUCCUGGGACAUGUGGGUUAUGGGCCCACCGCAUUUAUGCUAUGUUGCUAUGAUUUUAUUGUUAAAAGUAGGGAUAAUAAUUUUUUCUGAUGAAAUCUUAUGGGAUCCCAUCUCAUUUGAGACAGGAUUUAGAUAUAUUUUUAUCUCACAAAAAAAUAUAGGAAUGGAAGUGAGAUAUUUUUUUAUCCCACUUACAUAUACGGGACGGGAUUGAGAUUGACAAAUUCCAUCCCAUCUCGUUUUCAUUGUAGACUAAGGAUGAGAAUUUUUCUAAUUGAGAUAAAAUCUCUCAGAAUCCCAUCUCUUUUUGGACGGGAUCGUGAUAUAUUUUUAUCCCAAAAAAAAUAUAAGAACGAGAGUGAGACAUUUUUUUAUCUCAUUUGCAUAUAUGGGACAAGACUGGGAUUGGUAAAUUCCAUCCCAUCUCGUCCCAUUGCCAGCCCUAGUUAAAAGGCUCUCAGUUUUAUUUAAAUAAAUCAAUGUGCUUUUAGAAAUUUCGAUAGGCAAUCUAAAUUGCUUUAUUGUUAAAAGACUCUCAGUUGCAUGUUCCCUUCUACGAUAUCUAAUACUCAAAGUCUUAAUUAUAUAUAUAAUUAGUAUUAUUAGUUGUAGGUAUCUUAUAUGAUCCGUUGAUAUCUGCAUAUGUACUAUUUAUUGUAUUAAUGCAAACUCUUUAUUAUUUAAUUAAUUCAAUCAUGAAGGGUAAAUAUGUCAUUUCACUUGAUUUAUACUCUUAAAACAUUUUGAACUCCAUGCUGACAUCGAGACCAAAAGUAAAAUAGAAAAAUAAUUAAUAAAGAUGACGCCGUUAUAACGGAAAAGAUAUAUAAACAUAUUUUGAAAAUUAGUGGAAGAUAUUUUUCUACUUAAUAACUAUCACCAACCAACAUCGUGGCGUCAUGCUACGUUUCCCUUGAGUGCUUGCGUCUUGUAUAUGCUUGGACUCGGAAUUUAUGCUCGUGGGCUCAUGUGUCCGCGUGUGGCCAAACAAAUACGAGACAAACAAAGACUCAAUGCACUCGAAAUCGUAAUCAAUGCUUCUGCAAUUUUUGCCAUUCAUCUGAGAGUAAGUGUUGACUGGCUUUCUUAGUUAUGCACUUAUGCUCCUGCAUAUAUGCCAAUGGCCAUUCAGUGACUCAGAGUUUCCACUUCCACUUUCUUUCUUCUUUUAUAUAUAUUUAUUUUUAAACAUGGUAAAAUUUUAUUGAUAUAUUUAAAAUUAGAAUCCUAAUAAAACUCACUUAGAUUAAUACUAUUAAAACACAGCUCAAAAUUAUACCCUCAUUAAUAAAAUAAAAUAUACUUUUCCUCAUAAUCUAAUUGACAAUUAGUACACAAAAGAGCAUUUUUACCUGGGGUCCAAUGUGAAAAAUGUUAAAUAAAAAGAAAAAAAGAAAGAAAAGUACAAAUCAUGAACACACACGUCGAGUGACGUGCCAACCGUCCAAAAUUUACCAAACCAGAAAAGAAAAUAGGGUGUAGAAUGAAUCACGUGAUUGAUCUUGUCUCGUUCACAUUUGUCCGAAAGUAAUUAUAGUGACAUCUUUCCUUGGCGACAGAAAUCCAUGGACGUGAUCUCGACAAACCCAUUUCUCAAAAUAACAAUUGAGAUCUAUUAGAAUAGGGAGAGUAACAUCUUAGUCCAUCUUAUAACUCAUUUUCACAUUUUAAUCUUUAAUAGAUUUUAAUACCUCAUUUUAUCUAUGAUGUUCAAACAAUGACAGAAUAAAUAAGCUGUUGAUGGGUAAAAGUUAUAUUUUAACAAUUAAAUUAGUUAAUUUUUAUUUGUGGAAGUUUCAAACAAUCGUUUUAUUUAUGAAAUGAUCAUACUUAUUAUGAAAUAAUUAUAAAGUGGUAAAAUCAAUUCACAUGAAAUUUACUUUUUGCCUUUUGAUCAUGUUAUGAAAUAACCUCAAUAAGUAUAUAUGCCUUUGAGAGUUUUACUGGUAUCAGUAGAGCUGAGUUGAUAUUGUUGGUGGUGUGGUAAGGAUAUGGUUUUGGAGGAUUUGGAUUUUUAGGGUAUUCCAUGGGUCUUACUUUUUUCAAAUCUCCAGUGGAAGAUAUUCAGCAUGUGGUUGCGAGCUUCAAUUCUCAUACUGUUGACAAUCUUGUCCAAUUUGAUGAGAAUUUCAGUUUUGAUGGGAAUCCAAUGUUGAUGCUUAUUUCUUGUUUGAGCCUGAGGAUACUGGAAGGCUUGAUCUUAGUCCCGAUUUUGGUAUUGCUAGCCCGCAUGCCUCUGGUUUAAAGAAAGGCUUCACAUUUGACACUGCUCGCAUGUAUAAUAAGCGGCACUCUAGGUAUUAGCUCAUCUUCUUAUAGUUUCUUUGUUAGAUUUUGCCUUAGUUUGCUCUCUUUAGUUAAUUCUUUGUUAUUUAAUUGCUUUUGCUAUUUAUUUUGUUUUUGUUAGUAGUGUUUGUUCUUUGACUUAGUGGUUUUGGUCACAUCACACUUCAAAUGUAUUUUCUUUUCUUUUAUUUAAUCUAUAGAUAAGGGGUCCCGCCUAACUUGGUUUCAAUUUUUUUUUUCUAAAAAGUUUGUCUUUUUUUCUUAUGCAUAUGCAUGAAAAUGAAUUAUGAAAGACCACAUCGCGAUAUGAUAAAAGAGCAACAUAUAAUUGAUAAAACUAUUGUGACAUGAUUGAUUAAAGAAAUAAAAAGUAGAUGUUUGUUUACUCUCUAUAUUUUGAGAAAAGUACUCAUUUAAUCUCUAUAUUUUAAGAAAUAAUUUAAGAUAACUUUGUUAAUAAUUAUAUUACAAUCUUACCCUUACUUUUCUUUUUGUUUAAAAAUAAAAUCAUAACAACAAUAUUCUUGAAAACAUUAAUGAAAAGAAAAAAUGUGAAUUUGUCAAAUCAACCUUAAAAGUAAAAUAAAAAUGAGUUAUUAUUAUUUUAGGAUUAAUUUGGUAAUUAAAUUAAUUUUAUACAAAAAACUAUUAGUAAGAUUGUUGCAAGGGUAUUAAACAUUACUUUAAAUUACUUGGUAUUCAUUUAUUUAUAAAUAUUAAUUAGCAAGAUUGUUACAAAAGUAUGAAAAAUAUCAAUUGUUUUAUACUUAUAUUUAUUUCUUAAUUUAUUAAUAAGUAAUUAUUGGUUAAUUUAUUAAUUAAUUUUUUUAUAGACUAAAAAAUUAAUGUAAAAUAUAUUGUUGUAAGAGUAUGUAAAAUAUAUUGUUUCAAGAGUAUUAUUGUAAACACAUAAAAAAGAAAAAAGAAAGGAUAGGAGUGUUAUAUAUUUAAUAAUAAAAAUGUCUUAAAGAAUUUUAAAAUACAAACAUUAAACGUAGAGUUAAGUUAAAUUUAGAGACUAAACAGCGAAACAAAUAAAGUAAUCUUGCUUUGCCAUUUCUCUUUGUCGUUAUUGUCAUAAAUAUUGUGACAAAAACAAGCACCAUGUAUAGUACAAUAUGCCCCAGAAGCAUGUAUAAUUUAAUUAAUUAAUUACAGAGCAGGGUGGCCAGUGGAAAGUGAACGGAUGGAUAAAUUCCCAAACGAUUGAUUUUGACGCAUGAAUGAAUUGAUUAUAUUAUGUUACAGAUUCUGUAACAUACGCACCCAAUGCAUGCACCACACCUGUCCUGCACAUGGAGAAAAGUAUGCAAUUAUUUUUGUUUAGUAUCUAGCUAACCAAUCAGGAGCUGGCCAAGUUGGAUCUGUAUGUUACAGAAUCUGUAACUUAGCCAGCUCCUUGAUUAUAUAUACCCAUGAGUAAUUAUUGUACGCUCAUUUUCACUGUUUUUUCAUUCCACUCUGUCAGCUUACUAAAUUAACAUCAUCCCAUUCCCCAGGUGUCUUCUUUGCUUGCCUCUACUUUCAUAUCUCCUCUGCCUAUGCAUUCUUGAAGUGAGAAAUUAAUCUCUUGGGCUGAAACUCUAGCUAGAAGCUAUCCUCCUUGUUCAACUAAUCAAGCAAGAACUUCUCUCAAGGCCAAGUAAGCUUCCUCCUCUCUCUCUUUGAAGUUUCCUCUUCUCUCUCUUUUUCUCUAAAUAUUUCUGUCAACAGUGACAUGAAUCAGAGGGGAACUACGUGUAGAGUUCAAUAUAGUUUUUUGUUAUAUGUUUUAAUUAACUUCAUAAGUUUUUUUGUUAAAGUUUUGAACGUAUGUGUUGUUGUAUUUGAUUCUUUUUCAAGAAAAUAAUUGAGAAAAUAACCCUACAACUGGGAACCCUUAAAACACAUGACAAAUGUAAUAAAGAAAUCAUAAUUCAUACUAAAAAAGCUAACUCUCUUUACAUACAUACUAUGCGCAGCUGUAUUUGCAAUUAGGUUCCUUUUUUUUUCUUUCAAUGAAAGAUAUGAAUCUCUUCUUUCAAUCUCUUAUUAUUUAAAUGAAUACAUAUAGAUUUUUUUCUCCUUAAUACCUACCCGUGUACUUAGUCAUUUUCAAUUCAUUAAUACUUUCUUGAAUAAUUUUUUUUUUUUUAAAUGUGGUGGUUGGACUGUAUUUUCUUUUAUUUCCUAUUUGUCCUUUAAGUAGUUUCUAUUAAUUACACUCACCCAUGAAUUCAGAUAAGUUGAGUGGACUUGAUCGUAAGUCUUCUUUAUAUUUAAUCAAGUUUUUGUCUGAUUCAUAGCUCGAAAAGAUACAUUAUUAACAUGAUUUUUGCUGUUACAAUGCAUCUUACCAACAUCGUACAAGUGCACCUUAAAUAAAUACUUCCUACCGGUGAGCGAACACCGAGACACACGCCACUUCGGCCGUGCCGAAGAGGUGGGCUGCUGCCCUCACAACGGUUUAAGCCCCUACAAAAGUAUUAUAGGGACUAAACAUUUAUAUAUUCUUCUUUCUUGCGAAAUGCAAGUGAAAUAGGGGCAUCCUCUUCUGUAAGGAUAAUUUAUCUGAAUAUCUAUUUCAUAUAAUGUAAUAUAAUCAUAUAUAAAUUCCAGUCAUAUAUAUUUGAUUAUAAAUAUCAAUAUAAUAUUUGAUAGUCGUUGUAAAUAUCUGUAUAAUAUAGUAAUAUAGUGUGUAAUCAAUAUUAAAAAAAAAACACCGAGACACACAAAAUCCACACAGAAUGAGACGCAAAAUUCAAGAGAAAAAGCCACUAAGAUUUUUAAGAGAUUUGCUUUUGGACUGAAACGUGACACAGACGUGCAUCGGUUACAUAAUUUUUUUUUUAAAAGAUAAACUUUAGAGUUUGCACAACUAUUUUGAAAUUUUAAAAAAAAAUUAUGAAACUAUUUUUAAAAUCAAAGAAUCUACAUAUUCAUUUAAACAAAUCUUAGACGUAUAGAUGAUUUUUCUAUUAAAAUUCAGACUCGAAUAAUAUCACUCAUAAUUAAACAAAGGUGUGUGUAUGAAAUAUAUCAACAAAUUAUGUGCCUAUUGGUUGCGCACAAGGCAAAUUUUUUUUUUUAAUUUUUGGUAUUGAUCAAAUUUAGAGGGGCCGGGAUUAGUUCUUUACUGGAUUAAAGCAGUCUAGGUAGAUUAAUUUGCUAUCUAUAUUUGCAUUUUCCAUAUGUAACAUUAUUUUCUCUAAACAAAACUGUAUUUUAGAUGGAGGAGAGACUACUCGGUUCAGAAGCAAAAGAUAUUGAUGAUUUAAAAGGGAGGGUUUGGAAAGAAUCGAAAAAGCUAUGGAGGGUUGCAUUUCCUGCAAUGUUAGCUAGGGUUUCUCAGUAUGGUAUGUUCGUUAUCACACAGGGAUUUAUUGGUCAUCUUGGUGAGGUUGAGCUUGCAGCUUACGCGCUCAUUCAAAUCAUAGCCGUCCGAUUUUCAAAUGGGAUUUUGGUAAGAUUUUGUGAUUGCAUUUAUUAUCCUUAUCUCCCAGUACAAUAGGGAUCGACAAAAUAUGAGCACUACUAAUCUUAUCUGCCCCCACGAUUCCACUCGACCUUCUAUUUUAUUUUUCUUUUUCAGAAAGUUGGUCUUAUUCGUCCGGGUAAUUCCCCACUUUAGUGUCCUAAAGUUGAGCUACAUAUUGACGCCAUUAUUUAAUUUGCACCUUUAUCUAAAAAGCAAUCAUGCAAAAAUUUUACUUAUAU